UUAUCAAAAGUUCUUCUCCUAGAGAGGAAAUUAGCUUGACUCUGGCUAAUAAGGUUUGCUAGAUGGGGCUUGAGUCUAUUAGGAAUAAUCUUGGAGAUGAUUUUGUAUUGGGUGUUGUAAAGAUCAAUGGAUCUAAAAUUAUGAGAUUUGAGGCAUUGAAGCACUUAAGAACAAGGCAGAGGUAAGUGGUUUUCACCUUUCUUUCUAUUUGGGUGGACUGAAAGGUAUUAGUAUAAAACUUUAUGACUCUCUACUCCAUGAUAUCCCAGUAUUUCUGUUACUCGAGAGGGUGAGUACCAAUUGGAUCAGGAGCUUUUUUAGCCUUGAAAGAGCAAAUAACUUUCUUAAUUUUCUGGGGAGUGGCAAUGCUAUCCUGGGCUUGGUGGUUAUCCAAGCUGAUAGAGCCUUUGUUAGAUGGGUUACCUUGACAAAUAAGAGUGAAGUAUGGUCAGUAGUGAACAAGUUGGUGUAGAACCUGAGAAUAUUAGAUUUGAUAUCAUUAGGAGUGUAGCACCAGUUCCCACUGUCAUCUCUAAAGGCAGUAGUUCUAUUUCUUCUCCUUCUAUUAAGGCUAGAAGUAUAGAAAAAGUUAGUGUUUGAGUCCACUUUUAUGAGCCAAUUUAUUCUAGAUUUUAGUCUCCAAAAUUUUCACUCAUUCUUAAGGAUGGUAUUUAAGUCCUUAGUGAGCCUUCUCUCUAAGUUCUAGAGAAAGUGGCUAUGAGGUUAGUUUGGAAAUUUUCAAAUUUCAGUAAAGCUAGCAACAUUUGUUUUUUCUGGUGGAAGAUAUUACUAAAGGUGUCCUUGUUCCAGAUUGUAAUAUGAGUUUAAAAAUGAGAGAUGGCCUCAGAGAGAGAAAGGUUAUCUUUCGUAGUGACUUUUUAGGUUAUUUUCCAUAUUUAUGCUUAUUUUCACCAUUAGAGAUUUUUCAUUGCUUCCCCAAGUCAUUUACGACCUGUUGGGAUUGACGAUUCGAUUAUUGGGCAGUUCAUUUGAUUUUUAGAGCCAAUUCACUAUUUUAAAGUGUUUGUUAGUUCCAAAUGGCCAUGAGCAAAAAAUUUAGCAAAAUGAUCUCGUAUGUAUAUUUUGACUGUGUCAAUAGCUCUAUAAUAUGGACUUUAGGCUAGGUGGACCUUUGGUUUGGGUCUCGAGACAUCCAAGCUCAUUUCGACCUAUUAGUGGAAAAGUUAAGAAAAUGAAAUAUGAGUAUAGAACCCACAUUUAGUCGAAAUAACCUCGAAUGGAAAAUAUGAUUAUUCCAUUGAGUCUAGAACAUCAAAUUUGGUAUGGUUACAUAUUUUAUUUGCGUAUACGAUAUUUUGGAUAAAUCCUGAGGGUGUGGCAGAGAGUUGAAAAUUCCAAGUCCAUUGCUGUCAGCUGUGCACUAUGAUAGCAGCUAUUUGGACCGUGAUUGUGACUCACUUGAGUAGAGGAGAUACCGUGAUUGCGUAGGGGUGUCACAAUUGCCACUCACAUGGCCAAAGUGAGAUGCCGCGAUGCCAACUUCGGGGUCAUGAUAACGACUCUCGAGUACCUGUACUGGGUAUAAAAGGGCCCCUUUCACACGAUUUUAGCCAUUCUUCAUCACUUUCUUGAGAGAUAAAAAUCGUAAAUGAUGUGAUAACUUAAAGUUGAAUCUUGUUGGUGAUUGGAAAGGUAGAUUAACAUUUAAUUUCGCGAUUAUCUUUCAAUUUGAGAUACGAAUUCACUCUUUUCUUGACGAAAUUUCUUGAUUUAUUGCUCAAAACCCCAAAACUUUUAGGGCUUGGUUUUAUCCCCCAUUUAGCUUAGGUUUCACCCAUUUUUUAGGGUAAUUAUUCAUUGAGCAUGUAAGAAUGUUGGAUUGGUUUUGAAAAUACGAUUUCCAUAAGUGGUACCCACAUGGGGUUUUGAUAUGAUUUUUGAACUCGAAGCACAAUGAUGUAAUAUGGGUAUUGUCAUUCUCGUAUUGAUGAGUCAAAUGUGUUUAUGAUAUCUUGGCAUCUUGAGGAGACUUCUCAAAAGAAAAGAAUGGUGGUUUAGUCAGUCGUUGAGCUUUCUUCAGCGUUGAGAUAGGGUAGGUUUAUCCCUUAUUAGAUUGAGCUAUUUCAUAGUUUUCUUAUGAUAUUGAGUUAGCUUUGGGAUGAGUUUUAGGUGACUGGAUUGAUGAAAUGCAAUACUUGGGUUAGUAGACCGUUUAGGCUAUUUUGAAACUGUAGAGUUGAAAAACCAGGCUUGUCCCCUAUGAUUUAAGUGAGUUGGACUUUAUUACUCAUGUUUAGCAUGAGAAUGCUUAUAUUACUCAAAUUAGGUAAAAAUGUGUUAGUCACUAAUUCUUAGGGUAAGAUUGGCCUUAGUUGCUUACCAUAAUGAAGGUUGCCUUAGUUUUCAUUAGACUUAGUUAAAGUGUUUGAGAAGAAUCUCUAUCUUAGGGCUAAUUUUGGCUUGCUAUACAUCUAAGAACUGAUUUAGAUACCUUAUCCUAGUACGGGGUUGAAUUUGACUCAGAAUGUAUUUUGGAGAUUUGGAAGUGGGCUCUUUGACCCACCUUAACCCAAGAUCGAUGUUAAUUCUCUAUAAAACCUUUUAUGCUUGUUAAAUACAUAGAGAAUUCCCUUUGAGGAAAUAUUGAGGAACCUUAGCACGUGAUGGUUAUAGUGAUGAUAGUAUUGAAGUAAUGCUCAUGGACUAGUUGAUUAGAUUGUCUAUUAUAUUAUUGUGAGACAUUGAUUAUGCUAUAAUAAGCGGUUGGUUAUGCUAUGAAUAACCUAUGGGUAAGCCCGUGAUAAACUAUUGUGCAUGUUUUUGAAUAGGCCCUUGAUGAUGAUGAAUAUUACGCCAUUACCUAUGCUAUUGAUAAGUUAUUACCUAUGCUAAUGCUUAUGAUUAUGAUCACGAUCAUGCUAAACAAUUGUGCAUAAAAAACAUCCUUAUUGAUAAUAUUAGCAAUUGUGCCUUGAAUUAUGUUAGAAGUCAUGCUAAUUGAUUAUAUGGGAAGUUAUGCUAUUAAUUAUGCUUGAAACUGUAAUACCCCGAGUCUGUACUCUGGACGGUACAAGUGCUCAUAAUCCCGAAGGACCACAAGCUAACCCAUGACUGGUACCUGCUGCAAUAACUGAAUAAUAAUACUGUAAUAUACGGAAAGUAGGCAAAAAACUGCCUAUAAGGUUUGAUUUUGUAAAUAAUACUGCAUAUGGUAUCACAAUACCAAAACUUAACAUCAAUACUGAAAACUGAGCAACUGUCUGAAAAUACUCUGGUCUGAAAAACCUCUAAAUUAUCUGAACUAUGGAGUUGAUGGGAUAUGUUCCCAACCAACUCUGACUAUUGAAAAUAAAUUGAAAUGCUAAAAUAAAUAAUCCAGUCCUCAAAACUAAGAGGACUUAUCACUAACUCCGUAUGCUGAGAAUCUGAACUGCUAAGGGUGCUCUGGAACCCGUGCAUCUGAACCUAUAAUAUAAGACAUCAUAGCACAAAAGAAAGGUAUGGGUCAGUACUUCGAAUGUACUGGUAUGCUCAGUGAGGUAGGCUGAAAUGCAUGGGUUCAUAUACAUGAGUAAUACUAACUGAAUAACAUGAGUAUGACUAAAUGAGAGUACAUGCAUAAAUACGUAGACUGUAACUGAAAUCAUGAUACUAGAUACUAUAUCUAAAUAAUGAUAAACUGAUAUCUGAGAAUACUGAUACUGAAUUACUGAUAAUAGAAUAACUGUAUUGGACAGUCCUGAAUCUGUGGAACUGUACUAAGUUCUGAACUGAGCUGAGUGACUAUGUCUAAAAGUCCUGAAUAUGUAGAACUGAACUGAGUUCCAUACGGAGACUGAAUUUGAAACUGAGACUGUAGGAGAUAAUCAUCUAACUGACAUGCCCUUUCUCUAACUCAUUUGGGAUUCAACCUGUAACCCCAUUUGGAAGGGUGCCAAUACCGUGCCAUGGGUAAGGAAAAGCUGUGAGUUAACUCUCUCUGACAGAAAGAUUUUUCGUCAACCCUUGCUGGUAGGAAAACUCAAAUGAGAUAUAUCAACUCUAGUCUUGCAGGGAGAUAUCUCAACCUACGCUGGUUAUGUAGUUCUGGAAUGCAAGGACUACUUCUAAGGAUUUCACCUUCUACUGGCAGGUGAGUCCCUAUGCUUGGGUUAACUCGGUGCUGAAUCUUACUCCUAACUGAAUAGAUACUGGAUUGAAUUCUAAACUGUACUAGGCUGGCCUGAACUAUUUACUGAUUGUGCUGUAUAACUGCACUGAACUAAUUUUAUUGAACUGAGCUGGAUGGAUUCUGAGUUCUCUAAGUACUGAACUAAUUACAGAUUGAAUUCGGUGAACUAAUUGAGUUUACUGAGUUCUAAACUGGAUACUACUAUGUUCUGAAAUGAAUACUGAACUGAGACUGAUUACUGAGUACUACUGAAUUUUCCUGAGUCCUGUAACUGACUGAGAGUACUACUGAUCGUAACAUGACUUAGAUUAUUUUGUAACUGAUACUGGCUCUAGGUAAAUAGCUAAAUUGUCGGGUAUAAAUAUGCUUAUGACUCGAUAGUAUGAAAAGUAGAGCAUAGCAUGGUCGUAUAUAUAUACUAUUCCAUAGUUCAUUCAUAGAGACAUUUACUCAAACACUUGUAAUGCAUUAGCAUGCUAUAAUUUCAUUAUUCAACUCACAUGAACAAUUCAUCAAACACUUAGAGGGCAUAAUACAUGCACAUGACACUAAACAACAUGAGAGCACCAUAAUUUCAACACCAAAUUCACAACCUUAAGACUUUAGCAUGAAUUCACAUGACACUACACAUAUAAUAAAUGAUUUCACAUGAAUCUUACAACUAAUCAUGGAUUAGAAAGCCCCAUCAACAUAAUAAUCAUGAACAUAGUCAAAUCAAAUCAUGGAAUUUCAUUAAACCCUUAACUUGUUGUUUUAAAAAGGUUUCUUGAACUCCAAGGGUGGAAGAAAACCCUUGGAUGAACACUUAACAUACCUUGAUGCUUGAUUUUGAGAAUAUUGAUGGUGAAAUCCUUGAUAUUUGAAUCUUGAAUUGGAAACUCUUAGGCUUGUUCUUCAGAGGAUUUGAGAGAAAGCAAGUAUAUUUUGCUUAAUGAGGGGUGAAUCUUGUGUUUUAAGGCUGAAUGGGGGUGGAAACAUACCACAUCGUUGGCAUCGAUGCAAUAGCCAACGCGCCAUGUCAAGUCUGCGUCGGUUCAUUAGAAUUUGCACUGAAGCUGGGGAAAAAUUAUCUUAUCGAUGUGAUGGUCGAUGCGACACAUCUAGAUCAUGUUGACCUACUGUUUUGGGCACUCAAACAUGUUUUACACGAGAUCCAAAAAUUCUAAAACUUGUUCGGGAAUAUUUAUUGACCUCCUGAUCAGGAAUUAACUGAAUAUCAACAUUUAAUGAACGUAAAGGUCAUGAAAUAAGAUUUCCAACUUUUGAAGGCUAAAAUGACACUAAGUCUGAAUACUUAGCUAAUAUAUUCUAUGUUUGGGACCCCUUAACAAGCUUAAAGGACUGAAUUAAGCUAGAAAUUUUGCGGGGUCUUACAAUAUCUCCUCCUUGGAAACAUUCGUCCUCGAAUGAGACGGACUAAGAUGGGAAUACUGGUAGAUUAAAUUUAGACACUAGACACGCACAACUAAAACAGGAUUUCAUGACUGUGAGUACUGAUAUACUGAAUUUCAUGCUGAACAUGCAUAGAUGAUGCAUGAGUACAUAGCUGAACAUGAUUCAUGAAUGCAUAACAGGGAAUACUGAUAAGCUGAUUUUUCUCAUAUAUAUACUUAAUAUGCAUAUCUGAUGCAUGGGUACAUGACUGAAUUGACUCAUGAGCAUAUGAUUGAAUAUGCAAUGGUAACUGAUACCAAGCUUGUAAAGGUAAUCUAAAUAUGGAACUGAGUAAGUUCAAGGAAAAACUAUUACUUAAACUGAAAAAUACUGAUGAACCCAUUAUCAUUUUCGGAGUACGCAUGAACGGGAACAUGAGAACAUGACUGAGACUGGAAUGUGAUACAUGAACUGAAUAUCGUAAACUGAACUGAGCCCCUUGAAUACGUGGCUUACGGCUGAGAUUGGAACUUGAGGGUCAAUUUAUGAGUACCCACUACUCCAAACUGGAUUCAUUAUGUGAAGAGAACUGGGAGGUUUAGGACAUGAAAGCUCGGGGUUAUAGUGUAUAUCCCUCUUGGGACAUUAUGUCCCCCAAAGAAUACUAACUUGGCUGAGAUACUGAGGAAAACUGGGGCGAUGCACAAGGCACCUAUGAACUGAAUCGUGACUGAAUAUCUGAGGCCUGAAACUGAGAUAUGAUAGAUGAACUGAGCUGAACACGCAACUGCCUGGUUGGUCUAUCUUAGAAUAGUUACAUUCAUGAGACUUCAGAUGGUGCGACUAGAUGGAAAGAUGGAAAACCACACCACACGAAUUUGUCUGUCUGACUGCUAAACUGAAUUAUUGGCUUUACAAACUAACUCAUACUAAAAACUUAUUCUCUGUCUUAGUACGAUACUUCACUUGGGAAUACUGAAAAAUAUUCCCAUAGGAGCUGCGCACGAAUGCAUAAACAUAUAACUUAUAAGAUUAACUGAAUGAUUGAUAGCUGAAUACUGGGUCUGCAAGAUUGAACUGUACUUAGUUUGAAUAAUUGGACUGAAAUUGUAGAGUUGCGUGCAUAUGAGGAAGUGUUGCGACUCAGACGCACACGUAAGUGCACGUGAUCAUAUAUGUAAUAUAGUGAUUUAGACAACCAGAUAUCAUUCCCACGAGGACUAAGCAACUAGAAAUUUAACCAACUUUUAGUUUUAGACAAUGAGUAUUAAGUGUUGUAAAGUAUCAAGUUGAUUUUGAACUUAAGAAUAAAAAUAUAAAUUUAAUUAAUUAGAAAUAAAAGUUUAUGACUAAAGCAAGGCAAGCAACGAUUGUAAACAAUAAUGAUAAGAAUUCCAGGGUUGAGGCUUUUCGAACAAUCAUACAAAUCUCCAUUCUUAUAGUAAUCUAAUUGGUUAUCGGGUUGUUGGUUCGCAAGGUUUAGGAAAUGAUCUUGGUCUCCCAACCUAAAAUCUUUUUUCUAUUGAAUAUUGCAGCUACAACUCCCGUAGAGAUACAAUAAUUCUUCUAGAUUCAUUAAGUAAUCUUCUUGCAAUUGAACCAAACAAGGCUUCUAGGUUUAUCCCUAUCUUAGAUGCUAAUUUAAACCCCUUAUUUUAUAAAAAGGUAAGAACCUUGCUCCUUAAUUUCCUCAUUAUAAUCUACGAUUCUCCUCCCGGAUUCACAUAAAAAUAUAAAUUUAUUUUAAUAGCGGCCAAACAUUAAAAUAGUAAGCUCAAGAAAUUAAGAACAACCCAGGUGAUAAUCCAAAAAGAAACUACUAUAAAGAAUAUCAAAGAGUAAUCAUGUUCUUGACCUCAACCUCAGAACAAGGGUAUUUAGCCACUCAUGUUUGAAUUAAACAACAAAAAUAAAUAAUUAAUCAUACCCAAAUUUAGUCUUUAGGUAAAGAAGUUCAAAAGAAAUAAUAAGAACCCUAAAAGGAAGAAUUCUAUGCUUUUCCGCCGCUGCUAUGCUUGCCAAAAAGUGUUUGAAAUUGUGCUCACGUGUUCCUUUUAUACUUGGAAAAAUUUCACCAGAUCUGAAACCUUGACACAAUGCAUUCCUAAUCGCGUUGAGCCAGUCGACGCGUUACGUCCACAUUGCAUUGACACACUAGAGUUUAUCGUUGAAAAUUAGACUAAGUCAAGUUCUUCACAACACGACACGACACAUUAACAUCACAUCGUGUCACUGGAAUUUGCUCCUCAAAAUAUGACUAAGUGUCAAAACUUUACAUAUUGAUGUGAUGCAUUGAAAUCGCGCUGAUGCACUGGAAGUUGCAUAUAAAAAUUUUGUUAAGGCACAGAACUUACGCAUCGACGCGACGCGUUGACAUCGCGUCGAUGUACUGGAAGUUGAUCUUCAAAUUUUGGCUAAGGCACACUUUUUAUCAAUCAACAGAACACGUUGAGAUAGCGUUGUGUCACUGGAAUUCUUCUCCAUUUCCUCUCUUUAUUUUCGUCGAUCUUCAAAUCCAUUCUUUUAUCCUUACUCUUGUGCAUCUACAAUGUUUUUGACUUUGAUCAACAUGGUAUUUUGCAUCUUCAUGAUAUGUAUUAAAUUUUCUUCCGAAUCCAUGGAAAAUUUACUCUGUAUCUCUAAUCACAUCAGUUAGCGAUGAAACAAAAUUUAGCUCACAAUUCAAUAUAAUUAGCAUAAUUUUCAUUCUUAAAAUAAGUCCAAAUAUGUGUAAAUAGCGGUGUUUGGAUAUAUAAAUACACCCAAGAUCAACACCCCACACUUAAAACCUUGUUCGUCCUUCAAAAACUUCAAGCAAUACCAUCAUCAAACAUUCUAAUCACAACCUAAGAGUCAUGCUAGUGUUGGGCACAUGAACACUUUAUUUCACACUUCAUCGUCCCAAUAGUGACAUUCAAUUUGUUGGCAAACUUAAUAAAAGCACGUAAUCAGGCAACUUCAUAAGUAAUCCAGACUUUCAUCUGCAUGCAUCCUCACAACAAGAAAGUUUUCCCAUAUCACUCACAAUUUAACAAUUUUAAUUAGGCGGGAAAUAUUAAAAUUCAAUCACUCGCUCUCAACAAAGAAUUCAUACAUAAUAAAUGAUGAACCAUAGGCUUGCCAUUAGUGUAUACUCCACUAAUAGUCGGAUGUUGAAAUAUAGGAUCAAACAUGUCUUUUUAUGGCUGUAAUACAGGCUAAGGGACGGGUAGGAACUAUUUGGGAAAUAGUGACUAAUCUCCCUAAGCACUUUAAUACAUAACCACCUUCCAUUAAAAUAACAUUUUAUCAACCUAUCUUUUCGUUUCAUUAUCUUUACACAUCCAUUGUUUCACCCCAAUCUUUUUAAGCACAUUGAUAACACUACGGUAGGAUUAUUUUUCUUUUUACAUCAUAAUUCAAUUUUCAGAUUUUCUUUAUACCUAAAUUCUUGUUACACACCCCUAUAGUAGCCACCCUCGAACUAAGCAACUUGCGUUAGUUAAGGUGCAGAUUGUCCUUAACGGACCAGAGCCAAAACAGGUUCAUUGUAACACAAAAACUGAGUAACAAUAACUGUAGUUUUCAUCACAUAUUUUUUUCUAACUCCUAACUAUCACAAUUUAAUGCACAACGAACGCUUCUCAGGGGCUUCACUUUCACCUUUUUCCUUCUUAAUAUUUCCAUUCCCUCUUAUUCCAUCAUCUGUAUCAAAGCGCUUAGGAAAUAAGGAUCGAAUUAAGGUCUAUCAAAGAAAGGAUUUAGCUACGGAUGAUGCUACCAAAGAAAUCAGGCUAUAGGCUCAACGGGGCUAACUAAGGUCAUGCACAUGGGUAGGUAAAUAAAUUCUUUACAAUUCGGUUAGCCAAAAAAAAUGGCUAAAUCAGUUCCUACACCUAAGACCCUUUAUUUUGCUUUGUAAACACACCGGGCAAGUUCUAGUCAUUCCUAUACAUGUAGAAUAUAAACAAAUACUCACUCACUUUGUGCAUGCUAAGAAUCAAGUCGGAUCCUUAUGGUUUCCAAUAUUGUACUUUAUAAAAUUCAACAUUAAUCCAAUCAAAUCAAACUAUAAUUAUUGGAAUUUAACAUCUAAAAACAUCUCAUUUUGUUUCAACACAAUUUCAUUUAUAGUCAAAUUAAAACAUUUUGCCCAACACACCGCAUUUUUCAAAGGUCGCAAUCAGGGUGCUAUAAUUUUCUCAGUUUCUAAAAAUGCACUCCCCUUAAGAGGGUGGUCAUCCAUCAAUCAUAGGGGAAGGCAACUAAAUAUGACGUUGUAUAACGAGAAUUGUCAAAAAGGGCACACAUAAUACGUAUAAUCUAAAAAUUACCGCAAAGGGUGAAAAUAUAAUACUGUAAAUAAAGCAAACACUUUUAAACUAAAUUUGCCAAAGAGGGAUAUCAUCUUGCCAAAAGGGCAAUAUUGUCAACUUAUAACCCAUAAAACAUAAAACAGAAAUAAAAAUUGUUCAAUCAACACAACUAAAAACCAACAUUGUUUAGAUAUUAAAAAUAAAAGAGAUAAAGAUGACGAAAAUCAACGACCAACCACCCCACAGUUAAAUAUAGCACUGUCCUAGUGCUUGUAAUAUACAUAAGACAGGGUGGGAUCGUACUCCCUGCUCAUUCAAACAAGACCAUGGCCAUCACAUCAGCAUCAACAUCAGCACCAUCAUUAUUACCAAAGUCAUCACCAGAAUCUCCAUCAUAAGACUGCUCCUCAUCCUCAGACUCAUCAUCAGAAUAAGCCAUGCGCCUCUCCUCAUCUGUGGGGACGUCACCAUCUAUUGGCUUAUCAAAAUCUGGGCCAAUUCACAGCAAAUUUCGAGCAUGAGGUCCUAAUGGAUAGUCUAGUUCAACCGCACGAAUCUUCUGUUGGGUGGAUGGACGCCCCCAGUCCUCAACUGCAACAUAGUUAGCCCAUACAUACGGGUUGUGAUCUCAUCAAUACGAGCUUGACACUCGGGCAUAGUCAAAUUUACACCAUGAGAAGUUGGUCCCUUGGUGCGAGAAAUAUCCAAUAGCCUGUUACCAACAGGUGACAAAUAAUCUUCCACCUCCUUAGGCAUACUUUGUUGCCUCAAAAAUCUGGUCACCAACCUUUCGAACCCAUAUCUACGACCCCCUAAGAAUCUAGCCUUUCUCAUCGCUAAAAAAAUAAUGGCACCCACAUUCACAUCCAUCUCAUCACGCAUCAAAGCAUAAAUAAGACACACCCUAUCAUGGGUCACCUCCAUCAUAUGUUUCCCAUGAACAAGAUAGGCAUAGAUAAUUCUGGCCCAUAAAUGUGCCUUCCUGUUCAGAUGAGCAAAUAGAAGUUAUACAUAUGUACUUCCCUCUUUGUGGUGAAUCCACCUCACCGUAGAUCGAGUGCCGUAUAAGAGAUUAUGGAUAUGCUGAUAUGGUGGCUCAAUGAUCAUUCUCUUAAGUGGCCCUGAAUCUGCAAAGAGUGCACCUAGCAACUCAUUGAUAGUAUUUGCAAUGAAAGUUAUCAUAUGACCACGUAUCUCAACCUCAGAAUAUUUCGGGUUCCAAUUCGCAUAGAAUUCCUGAACUGAGCUUAAGUUGAAUGCACCUAACUACUUAAAGAGAAAAUUCAUGUGGUGGGCCUCUAUCUUUCUCACCAUAGAUGGAUAUUCUUUUAUCAAGCUUGCCCUAUUAAUAAAUUGAUCAUCUGAAUGUUUUGACUCUUUGUGUUGAGAGUACCACUUUCGUCCUGCAACAACCACAACCUUAGUUUCGAACCUCUUUUGACUCCUAGGAAUAUGUGGGGCUGCAGGCACCCAGUCAGCUUCACGAUUCCUCUUAUGCCUGGUCUUAGAUGUUCCAGCUGCAUUUUUUCCUUUGCUUCAUUGUUGAUGGCCGCUCGAUAUUAUACCUAUAAAAAUAAUAACCCACAAACAUAUAAAGCACGUACCUUUGAAAUUAGCCACCACUAAGUGUGAAAUUUACCCCAUAUUUAAUUGCCAGCACAGGUUCCUAAAUGAAUGCACUAGGGUACUCAGACUUCCCCUUUUUAUUUCAUAAGUCCAGUCAUUAUUUAUUCAGUAUUAACAGGCAAAGAUAUUUUGAAGUUGGCAUAAUUCACAAUCUCAGCUCAAUGACUAAUGAAUAAUUUUCCGUAUAAACACCUCCAAUUAUGACUACAUGACCUUUUUUCACUAACACUAACUUCAGUCCCUCAUAGCUACCACUAAGGUGUUGUGAAAUUAGAAUUCAACCCACUCUUAGUUUCUAUCAUAUAGUGAAUCAAACACAUCCCAAAUUAUUGAAAUUCAACACAUAGUAUAACAAAACACUCAAUUGUCAAUCAAUUUAGAUCUCAAACCCUUAGAGUAACCAAAUCAAUUAAAUCAUGAAUCCCAUUUCAUAAUUAUUUGCUUCCCACGUGAGAAAUAUCAAACCAGCAAUAACAUCAUAUCAUCAUCACCUCCUAAUAUUCUCACCCAAAUUAGACAAUUAUCAUUCUAUGAAAGUUCAAAUAAGUUAAACACAACCCUUGGAUAUGUCACUUUAAUUCAAUCAAUUUUUUAGAUCAUAAAACUUAAAACAAUAGUAAAGCACAUAGGUUCAUACGACUAAAAAAAUAAAAGCAAAACUUACCUGGUUUUGGUUGAAAAGAAGUAAGAUGAAGUUAAAGCUUGUUGGAAUUUGACAAAAAUUGACUACACUCUAAUGGGUGAAAUUUUAGGUCUUAAGGAAAAAGGGGGCGGCAGCGGCAGCGGCGCUAGCGUUAGGGUGAAUGGUGAAAUAGGUUAAGGUCAUAUUAUAGAAGUGACCCAAAAAUAAAGAGCCAAUGCGAUGCGUUAGAUAUCGUGAUGGAUAAUCGAUGCGACACGUUGAGUUCACGUUGAUUUACUGUAUUUUCCCCAUAAAAUUUAUCUAAGUGUUAUCUAAUGAGCAUCAACGCGAUGCGUCGUGCAAUGCGAUGCGUCGUGCAACGCAUUGAAGCUCUGAUGAGAUGCAUCAAGAUCACGUCAGUUCACUGAAAAUAGCCUUAGAAAUUUUUUCUAAGUGUGGGCAUGAUGCAUAUUGACGUGACUCGUCAAGAUAGCGUCUGUCCACUGGAAAUUGCGUCCAAAAAAUUUUUUAAGGCUAAAUUUCCCAUACUUUAAUGCAUAUUUUCUUACCCUUUACCUUUUUCUCACCAUAUAUCACCUAUUUACUUACUCAAAGGCCCAUGUUCAUCAUCUUCUCAUCUUCUCUUUCUCCACAUCAAUCAAAGACAACAAAAUCAUGUAAGUAAAAAUUGGUUGCCUCCUACCAAGUGCCUUAUUUUUGGUCGUGGCACGACUUAUCUUUUUGUAUUUUUCUUUUUGUUCUUCAACUACUAAAAAUUAAACUACCUAUUACAUUGUAUUUGUGUGUUGACUCCCACACAAUGCCUUAUUUUAUGUCGUGGCACGAUUUAGCUCAGUUCUACUCAUCAACAUAGAUGAUGGAGUCCUUGUGCUUAUUCGGAUGAUCCACCUAGUAAUGCUUUAUACGCUGUCCAUCUACCAGGAACUUUUUCGUCUUCUUCUUAUUCCACAACUCCACAGCUCCAUGAGGUGUCAUUCACACCACCUCAAAAGGUCCAGACCAUUUCGAUCACAAUUUACCCAGGAACAAUUUAAGCCUUGAAUUAAACAACAAAACUAGUUGUCCGAGUUCAAAUACUCUCUCUUGAAUUUGUUUAUCAUGCCACCUUUUGGUCUUCUCCUUAUAUAGCUUGGCAUUAUCAUAGGCAUUAAGCCUAAAUUCAUUAAGCUCAUUCAACUGCAAUAAUUAUUUCUCCCCUGCAGCUUUUAUCUCAAGAUUUAACUUUUUCAUAGCCCAGUAUGCUUGAUGUUCCAGCUCCACAGGCAGAUGACAUAGUUUACCAUACACCAAGAGAUAUGGAGACAUCCCAAUGGGCGUUUUGUAAGCUAUUUUGUAGGCCCAAAUUGCAUCAUCUAACUUCUCAGCCCAAUCUUUUCGCUACCCAUUUACCAUCUUUUACAGUAUCUGCUUAAUCUCCCAUUUGGACACCUCAACUUGUCCACUUGUUUGGGGAUGAUACGCCGUAGUAACCUUGUGCCUGACACCAUAUUUAGCAAGAAGAUUUUAAACCAGGUGUUAAUAAAGUGCGUACCUUCGUCACUAAUUAUCGCUCUAGGUGUACCAAAUUUGUAUAAUAUGUUCUUCUUCACAAAUUUCAGCAUCGCUCUUGCAUCAUUAGUUGGACUAGUCACAGCGUCCACCUAUUUAGAGACGUAGUCAUAGCUAUAAGAAUGUACAAAUUGCCUUUUGAAGGUGUGAAUGGGACCAUGAAAUCGAUCCCCCAAACAUCAAAGACUUUAACUUCUAAAAUAUUAUUGAGGGGCAUCUCAUGACGCCUAGUUAUAGUGCCUAACCUUUGAAAUUGGUCAUAAUUCUUCACAAAAGCAACUGCGUCCCUAAACAAUGUAGGCCAGAAAAAACUAGAUUGCAGUACUUUUCUAGCAGUCUUCUCACCUCCAUGAUUUCCACCAUUGAGAGACGAGUGGCAAUCUUGUAGCACCUUUAAAAAUUCAGCCUCUGGAAUACACAUGCAAAUAACUCCAUUUGAACCCUGCUUAAAGAGAUACGGUUCAUUCCAAAUAUAGGCACGAGAAUCAUGAAAUAAUUUCUUCCUUUGUCAUGAGGUGGCAUCAGGAGGGUACACCUCACAAGCUAUUAAACUCAUAAUAUCAGCAUACCAUGGAAACUCAACUGCAUCCAAAGACAAUAACUUUUCAUCAGGAAACUCUUCCUUAAUGCUAAGAGAGUUAUCAAUAAUAUGGUUUUGACUUCCUAGCCGUGACAAAUGGUUAGUAACUUGAUUUUCAACUCCCUUUCGAUCUCAAACCUCUAGAUCAAAUUCUUAUAGUAGCAGAAUCCACCAAUCAGUUAAGGUUUUACAUCCUUGUUGUUCACAAGAUACUUAAUAGUAGCAUGGUUAGUAUGAGCAAUGACCUUAGUGCCAACUAAGUAAGAUCUAAACUUAUCAAAUGCAUACACCACUGCCAACAUCUCUUUCUCUAUAACUGUAUAAUUAACUUGAGCAUCAUUCAACACUUUGCUAGUAUAGUAGAUCGAGCGAAAUACCUUGUCCUUUCUCUGACCCAAAACCACUCCUACAAAAACAUCACUAGCAUUACACAUCAACUCAAAUGGUAACUUCCAGUCUGGUGCAAUCAGAAUAGGUGCUUCAAUCAACUUCUUCUUUAGUUUUUCAAAAGUUUCUUGGCAAUCAUCUUCGAACUUGAAUUUUUCCUUUUUAUCUAAUAAUUUGCUCAUGGGGCGUGCAAUCUUUGAGAAAUCUUGAAUGAACCUCUUAUAGAAACCUGCAUGUCCCAGAAAGUUUCGUACUCCUUUGACUAUGACUGGAUGUGGCAACUUUUCAAUCAUUUCAACCUUCACCUUAUCUACUUUGAGUCCUUUACACGACACUUUAUGGUCUCAAAAAAUUCCUUCCUUAACCAUAAAGUGGCACUUUUCCCAAUUUAGCACUAAGUUUAUCUCUUCAUAUCGAGCUAGAACUCUGUUAAGAUUCUGCAAGCACUUUUCACAAGAUUUACCAUACACAGAGAAAUCAUCCAUGAAUAUCUCCACCAAUUCUUCAACCAUGUCGGAGAAUAUCACUAUCAUACAUCUCUAAAAUGUAGCAGGUGUAUUGCAUAGGCCGAAGGGCAUGCGUCUGAACGCGUAUAUGCCAUAGGGACAGGUAAAAGUGGUCUUCUCCUGGUCUUUCGGUGCUAUGAUUAUCUGAUUGUUGCCAGAAUACCCAUCCAAAAAACAAUAAUACUCUUGUACCGCCAAUAUAUCCAACAUUUGGUUAAUGAAAGAAAUAGGAUAGUGAUCUUUACGAGUAUCUUCAUUCAACAUCCGAUAGUCAAUGCAGAUCCUCCAACCGAUCACCAUGCAUGUGGGGAUCAACUCAUUCUCAUUAUUAGUUACCACGGUCAUCCCUCAUUUUCUUGGUACACAGUGCACUGGACUCACCUAUUUGCUAUCAAAAAUUAGGUAGACAGUACCACUAUCUAACCAUUUGAUUACUUCUUUUUUGACCACCUCCUUCAUCAUAGGAUUUAACCUUCUUUGUUGCUAUACUCUCAGUCUAUAACCCUCUUCUAUGUAGAUGUUAUGCAUGCAAAAUACUGGAUUAUUUCCUAUAAUAUCGGAUAUUUGCCAACCAAUAGCCUUUCUUCUCCUCUUUAGGACUGCUAUGGCUUUCUUUGCCUGCACAUCUGAUAACCCUACAAACAAAAUAAUUGGCAAAGUAUCUUGAUCACCAAUAAAAACAUAUUGUAAAUAAGGAGGGAGAACCUUAAGCUCCAAGUAAGGAGCUUCUUCAAUCGAGGCCUUGGGUGAUAGAUCGAUUACCUAUUCAAUGACUCGAAAGGCACUUUAUUCGUCUCAAUCACUGCUAAAUUCAUAACCUGGACCAAUUCUAAUGCUUCCAUAUCUCCAUAAAGAUCAUGACCCAUCAAAUCUCGCUCUAAUAGAUUAUCAGACAACAACAAAUGCCAAUACGAAGCAAGAUCAAUAACUGAUAUAGAUGACAACUCCUCAUAUAUAGCUGACAGUUUCAGCACCUUGUACACAUCAAAUAUUUCUACUUUAUCAUGCGCGCGCAUUGUCAUUUUCUCGGAUGCUACAUCAAUUAGUGACUGUCCCAUUGCUAAGAAGUGUCGUCCCAAAAUAAAUAGAACCAUAAAAUCAGCCUCAAAGUCAAGAAUUACAAAAUCCACCUAAAAAAUUAAAGAUCCUACUUGCACCAACACAUCUUCAAUAAUACCAUCCCUAGAAAGUAACCGAUCUGCCAACUAUAAAAUAAUAGUAGUGGGUUUGGGACUCCUAAGAACCAUCUUCCGGUACCAUGAUGUGGGUAUAAGAUUUAUGCUAGCUCCCAAGUCACGCAAUCCCCAUGCACUAACGGUCUGUCCUAUGGUAAUCUGCAAGGUGAAACUACCUGGAUCCUUAAGCUUUGAAGGCAAUUUGUUUUAAAUCUUGGACAUACAUUCUUGAGUAAGUGCAACUGUAGCAUAUUCGAUCAAUCUUAUUCGCAACUAUGUCCUUCAAGUAUUUUGCAUAUGUUGGCACACUCUUCAAAAUGUCAACAAGAGAAAGAUUCACUUGAACCUACUUUAGAAGAUCUAAAAACUUCUUGUAACUAGCUUCCCCUUGAUGCUUCCCUUCCCUUUAAGGACAAGGUAAGGGAAAUGUCUUCUUCUCCACAUGAAUUUCUUCACUUGCCAUUUUUUCCUUAACUUCUUUCUCUGUAUUGUUUUUAGCACCCUCACCAUUGAUUGUGGGACUAACCUUCUCCUAAACUGUCUCCUUAGUUUGUAGCCCACUCCUUGUUGUAACUGCAUUAACCUGUUUGGGAUUUGUCUCUGUAUUACUAGGUAAUGCUCUUUGAGGUCUUGUAUUCUGUGCUCCUACAAUUUGACCUAGUUGUAACUCUAGAUUUCUCGUAAGCAAUUAUUGACUCUUUAACUUAGCUGCAAACUGUGCCUGUUGAGUCUUAAUUUCAAUUGAAAAUUGCUCUUGUUCGGCCAUAAAUUACUUCAUUAAUUCCUCCAUAUUGCUAGUUUGAGUAGUAGCUUGAUUGUUCUAAGCCAGCUGUGGAUUUCGUUGCACUUGUCCCUUGUAUUGAUUUGUAUUCUGUGCUUGAUUUCCACCCCAUGAGAAAUUGGGAUGGUUCCUCCAAUUGGGAUUAUAAGUGUUACCAAAAUUUUGUUAUCCCUGCCGAUUUGCGUUUCCCACAUAGUUAACAAAAUUUGAAUUAACUGAACAUGCAUUUACUGUGUGCUCACCACUUUCGCAAAUAUCACACCAAGAAUUCACCUGUUGGACUACAUUAGCUGUGGCUGCUGAUAGUGUAACACCCAUUUUUAUGCGAUUAAGCUAAGUAAUCAUUUGAUUUUGCAUGGCUGUGAUCUGUGCCUGUAAUGUGGUAAACUGAUCUACCUCCACUACCCCUGCAACCUUUCUAGAAGUACUCCUCGAAUCUGUAUGCUAGUCAGGGUUCCCUUGUGAAAUCUGAUUCAGCUGUGUGUACAAUUCUUUAUACAUCUAGCCUAUCCACCUGCUGCUGAAUCCAAGAGAAUCUUCAUGUUCGGAUCCAAUCCCUCAAUGAAAGUAUGCACAAGAAUAUCGUUUAACUAAUGAUGGUGAGGCAAUUUUUGAGCAUACCCUUAAAUCUCUCCCAAGCUUGGUAGAGAUUCUCUCUUUCUUUUUGUUUGAAACUCAAGAUUUUUCUUCUUAAGCAUGUAGUCUUCCCAGAUAGAAGGAAUUGAAUAAGGAAUUUACGAGCUGGAUCUUCUCAUAUAGUGAUGGAGAGUGGUGGUUCAGCAUGUAGCCACCUUUUUGAUUCCCCCAUUAAAGAGAAGGGAAAAAGUUUCAACCUGAUAUAGUUAGAGCUCACCCCUUUAGGACUGUAAGUAUAGCUAAUUUCCAAGAAGAUCUGUAUAUGCUGCUGUGGAUCUCUGUGUGAAAGGACAUAAAAUUACCCCACUGAAUUCAAUGAUUGCACCGUAUUCUGCUUUAAUUCAAAUUGAUCUCCUGGUUGGAGCUUUAGAAUACUACUCGUCACAUGGUUCGUGAGUGGGAUUGCCACCUCAUGAACAGGUCUAGCAGCUGGUUGAGUAGGAAUAACUGGAAUAACAGGAGGUGGAAUAUUUUUGGUAUUUGGAUUAUCCAGUUUAUUUCUUUGUUCAUCCAUUCUUCGCCUUUAUUGAAAGAUCUAUUCUGGUUCUGCAAAAGGCUCUACCAAUUUUUUAUCUCUCGCCAGUCCUGGAUUCAGCUAAAUCUACAAAAAUUCAGCAGCUAAGAUCAAGUCGUUAACACUGAAACUUAGUAUCAAAAACCAAAAAUUUAGCAAUUUACUAAUUAUAUUAGUCCCCGGCAACAGCGCCAAAAACUUGUUGCGACUCAGACGCACAUGCAAGUGCAUGCGAUCAUACAGGUAAUAUAGUGAUUUAGAUAAUCAGAUACCGUUCCCACGAGGACUAAGCAACUAUAAAUUUAACCAACUUUUAGUUUUAGACAAUGAGUAUUAAGUGUUGUAAAGUAUGAAGAUGAUUUUAAACUUAAGAAUAAAAAUAUAAAUUUAAUUAAUUAGAAAUAAAAAUGUAUGACUAAAUCAAGGAAAGCCAUGGUUGUAAACAAUAAUGAUAAGAAUUCUAGGGUUGAGGCUUUUCGAACAAUCAUACAAAUCUCCAUUCUUAUAGUAAUUUAAUUGAUUAUCGGGUUGUUGGUUUGCAAGGUUUAGGCAAUGAUCUUGGUCUCCCGACCUAAAAUCUUUUAUCUACUGAAUAUUGCAGCUACAACUUCCAUAGAGAUACAAUUAUUCUUCUAGAUUCAUUAAGUAAUCUUCUUGCAAUUGAGCCAAACAAGGCUUCUAGGUAUAUUCUUAUCCUAGAUGCUCAUUCAAACCCCUUAUUUUAUUAAAGGGUAAGAACCUUGCUCCUUAAUUUCCUCAUUUUUAUCUAUGAUUCUCCUCCUGGAUUCACAUAGAAAUAUAAAUUUAUUUUACUGGUGGCCAAACAUUAAAAUAGUAAGAUCAAGAAAUUAAGAACAACCCAGGGGAUAAUCCAAAAAGAAACUACUAUAAAGAAUAUGAAAGAGUAAUCAUGUUCUUGAUCUCAACCCAAAAACAAGGGUAUUUAGCUACUCAUGUUUGAAUUAAAUAGCAAAGACAAGUAAUUAAUCAUACCCAAAAUUAGUCUUUACGUAAUGAAGUUCAAAAGAAAUAAUAAGAGCCCUAAAAGGAAGAAUUCUACGCUUUUUCGCCGCUGCUAUGCUUGCCAAAAAGUUUUUGGAAUUGUGCUCACAUGUUCCUUUUAUACUUGAAAAAAUUUCACCAGAUCUAAAUCCUUGAUGUGAUGCAUUGUUAACCACGUUGAGCCAGCCGACACAUCGCAUCAAUAUUGCGUUGACACACUGGAGUUUAUAUUUGAAAAUCAGACUAAGUCAAGGUCUUCACAACACGACACGACACAUUGACAUCACAUCGUGUCACUGGAAUUUGGUCCUCAAAAUAUGACUAAGUGUCAAAACUUUACACAUCAACAUGACGCGUUGACAUCGCGUCGAUGCACUGGAAGUUGCAGAUGAAAUAUUUACCACGAAAUAGAACUUACGCAUCGAUGCAAUGCAUUGAUAUCGCAUCGAUACACUGGAAGUUGCUCUUCAGAUUUUGGCUAAGGCAUACUUCUUAUCAAUCAAUGCGACACGUUUAUGUGGCGUUGCAUCACUGGAAUUCUUCUCCAUUUCCUCUCAUUUGUUUUUGUUAAUCCUCAGCUCUAUUCUUUUUAACACCAAAUUCACAACCUUAAGGCUUUAGCAUGAAUUCACAUGACACUACACAUAUAAUAAAUGAUUUCACAUGAAUCUUGUAACUAAUCAUGGAUUAAAAAACCCCAUCAACAUAAUAAUCAUGAACAUAGUCAAAUCAAAUCAUGAAUUUCAUUAAACCCUUAAUUUGUUAUUUCAAAAAGGUUUCUUGAACUCCAAGGGUGGAAGGAAACCCUUGGAUGAAUACUUAACAUACCUUGAUGCUUGAUUUUGAGAAAAUUGAUGGUGAAAUUCUUGAGAUUUGAAUCUUGAAUUGAAAACCCUUAGGCUUGUUCUUGAGAGGAUUUGAGAGAAAACAAGUAUAUUUUACUUAAUGAGGGAUGAAUCUCGCAUUUUAGGGCUGAAUAGGGGUGCGGAAAUGACCCAUUUACCCCUAAGGAUGCGGUUUUUUAAUUACUAAAAAAUUGAAUCAUCGAUGCACAGCCCGACGCACCACGUCAUUGGCAUCAAUGCAAUGCCAACGUGCCGUAUUGAGUCCGCAUCGAUUCAUUGGAAUUUGCACUAAAGUUGGGGAAAAACUAUUUUAUCAAUUUAAUGGUAGAUGCAACACAUCAAGAUCACAUAGACCCACUAUUUUAGGCACACAAACAUGGUCUAAACAAGAUUCAAAAAUUUCAAAGCAUGUUCGGGAACAUCUAUUGACCUUCCUGAUCAUAAAUUAACUGAAAUAUCAGUAUUUAAUGGGCAUAAAGGUCAUGAAAUAAGAUUGCCAAAUUUUAAAGGCUAAAGUAGAAUUAACUCUGAAUACUUAGCCAAUAUAUUCUAAGUUUGGGAUCCCUUAACAAGCUUAAAGAAGUGAAUUAAUCUAGAAAUUUUGUGGGUCUUACAGGAACUAUGAUGCUUGAGUAUAUGAUCACUUAUGCUAUUGAUUUUCCACCAACUAUAAUGAUAUGGAUACCGAUUUAAGUUUUAAAUAUUAUGAUUAUGAUAAUAUAUUGAUACUCGGCUAGGCUAGAGGAUGAUUAUGAUAUUAUACACCCAGCAAGACCGCAAGAUAUUUUUGAUAAUAUAUUUAUACCCGACAAGGCCAAAGGAUGAUUAUGAUGAUAUAUAUACGGCAAGGACAGAGGGUGUUUAUGAUGAUGUAUUGAGACCCAACAAGGAUGAAAGAUAAUUAUAUUGAUGUGCCUAUGUGUACAUCAUUGUUUCGAUGCCCUAUGUAUAGGUGUUAUAUAUGUGUAUGUGUUUGUGUAUGUGUGUGUUUAUUCAUAGUAGGGUAUGAUGUUUAUAUUAGGGAUGUCGGUUAUUGCCCACAAGUGAUACAUGAUUAUAGUGGUAUAAAUGAUGAUUUGUGAUAAAUAAGAAUUAGUGGUUAAUAUUGUUUAAGUGAUAAAUAAUGACUAGUUGAUAAAUGAGGAUUAGUUGAUAAACUAAUGAUUAGUGGAUAUAUAGUGAAUGGUUGUUAAAUGAUGACUAGUAAUAAAGUGGUUUAGCUAAUAAGAGAUAGUUAUUUAAUAAAUAAUGACUAGUAAGUAUCAAUGAUAAGGUUGUUAAAUAUUGGUAAAUUGUGAAAUAUGGGUAAAUAACUGAUUGAUGAUAAUUGUGGAAUGAUGGUUAAAUGAAGAUAAAGGUUAGUUAUAAUGGUGGUUGAUUGCAUUGUCCUAUCUUGAGUGUAUUCGCUAGGCAUAUAGGGGUCUGUGAUGAUACUUUUCUUACCAAUUGGCAUAUGGGAGCCAAUUUUGUAGUUAUGUUUCCUUAUGUUGGUGCUUUAUGAGAUCUUAUUAUUUCAUAUUAUUUACUUACUAGGCACGACAAUAUUGACAUGUGUUGAUGCCUUAUGUUAUACUAUUAUUCUGAUGUAAUUACUUAUUAUGUAUAACAAUGUUGGACAUGAUUCAGCUUUGUUUCUGUACCUUGACUUAGUUAUGUUAUCUUGCAUUUUAUCAUAUUUAUAUCAUGAUUUAGCUCAGUCGGCCGAUGAUGCCUACUGAGUACCUGUUAUUUUGGUACUCAUACUAUACUUUUAUACCUUUUUGGUGCAGAUUCAAUUACUAUCUGUUGCCGUUCAUUAUUAAUCAUGUUGUGUUGAUUAUUUAAAAAUAGGGUGAGCUCUUGGAGUCGGAGUCACCUAGUACCCCUAUCUUUUGAUAUUCAGUCUUAGUUAUCAAGGUAAAUGUUAUUAACUAUUCUAAGUCUUUGAAUUGUAAUACUAUUGGAUGCUCUUGUACUAGCUCUACUAGGUUGUAGGGUGAUAUUUUGUAUUUACUAUUUUAUCUAUCUGAACCUUUUGCUUAUUUUUAAAUUGUAUUCUUAAAAUUUGCCUUUGUUGGGCAUUUCCUACCGAAUUAAUCCAUUGCGUUAGAUUCGGGUUAUGGUUUGGCUUACUUACUAGUGGGAUUUAGUAGGUGACAUCAUGACUCGUAAAUCAGGUCAUGACAAAUUGGUCAGAGCCAGGUUUCACAAGUAUUGUUGGAACAAGAGCAAGUGUCUCCUGUAGAUCAGAAUGAUGACAUCUAUUUCCUAUCUUUGGGAGACUAUGGGACAUUCUUAGGAGUUCAUCACUUCUUUUACUCAUAUUGUGCUAAGAGUCUGUGUUGGUUUCUUGAAGUAUUAUUUUGACUUUACUCUUUCGCAGAUGGUCAGACACGUGCUACUGCUACAUAAACUGAGGGUAUCGAGAUCGAGCUUAGGGAUCCUACUCCUAUUUGUGGAUGACCCAGAGGUUAUGGAUAACCUUGGGAUGUGUCCUCAGCUAAGGUCCAAGAGAGAGGGCCUUUCUUAGACCCUAUUCCUGCUUCUGUGCUAGAGAUUCUUCUACUUUAGCCAGUGGUAGGACAGGGACCAUCCCAGGCUCUACUAGGGUUUAUAUCUUCUUUAGUGCUCAGAUAUGCAUUAGUUUAACUUUUGGGUUUCAUUGGCGGUGCACCGUCUGAUGGUGCAUAGUCUACAAAUUCUAAUAGUACAGAGUUAGGGGCGUAACCUAUUAUUGUGGCUCCCAGAGUUGAGGAUUCUCCUGUACUGAUAAUUGGUCACGCUACUAUGUCUUCUGAUGAGCAAAAGAUGUUGGGUAGAUUCUUGAGAUUGACUUUGCCUAGAUUUUUUGGUGCACCAGGCGAGGAUGCAUAUGAGUUCCUAAUUUUUUGUGAGGAUAGGCUUUAUAAUUUGGGCCUCGUUAAGACUCGUGGUGUGGAUUCACCAUAUUUUAUUUGGACUUGGCUGCUCAAUAUUCGUGGAGAGGGUUUAUAGAUUCUAGACCAACUGGAUCUUUUUCUUUUUCAUGGACUUAGUUCUCCAAGAUGUUCUUGGAGAAGUACAUAACUCGUAGCCUUAGGGAUCGCCUGAGGGAUCAGUUUUUGAGAUUGGAGUAGGGCUCCAUGAUAGUUGUAGAGUAUAAGGCUUAUUUUCACGAGUUAUCUAUGCAUGCUACUUUUAUUUUGGACACUGAGUAUGAGAGAGUUAGCUGCUUUGUUAGGAGAUACUCCCCAUUCAUAUGUCUUUGCAAAGUUUAGUUGCUGCAAGUAGGUCUUUUACUGAGGUGUCAAGUCAUACUCGGGUGAUAGAGAAGAUACAUCGUGAGGGCUGUGAUAAUAGGUAUCUUUCACAUCCAUUCUAUCAGCCUUAGAGUCGGCCUAGUCGACCUAUUUAGGUAGCACUUUAGAUCAAUAACAGAGGUCAGUCUAGUGUCAGAGACCGCCCUGGUCAGGGUGGCAGUCAGUCUUUGAGGGGUUUAUCUUCUGGUUAUUCUAGUCGUUGUGGUUAUUUUGGAUCAAUUGGAUCUAUUGGUUUUGAUUUAGCUUAUGGUUCAUGUUUUAGUUGUGAUGCUCUUGCUCACUAUUUGUGAGAUUACCCUAGCUAUGGGGUAAUUAUUGUUUCAGCUCAGGGUUCUUCCCCUAUUAGAUCAGUUCAUACCCCAGCUAGAGGUGGUUCUCAUGGUCAUAAGGGUGGCUCCCAGGGUACUCGAGGAGGUUUUAAUACAAACUAGAUAGAAGGUCACCAGGUACCUAACUAGGUGGGGGACGUGGUCAGUUGUAUACAAUACCUGCUAUGCCCGAGGCUGAGACUUCAAAUGUUAUUAUUAUAGGUAUGAUUUUAGUAUGCCACUAUUCAACCCUUUCUUUAUUUUAUCCGUGAUUCACUUAUUCUUAUAUUUCUAUUUAUUAUGCAUGAUAGUUUGAGUUGUCUUGUGACUUAUUAUCUGUGGCAUUAUAUGUAUCUACUCUCGUGGGUAAUUCUUUAGUAGUGGAUUGAGUUUUCAGAUCAUGUAUUGUAACUGUUAGAGAUACUAAUAUUUAUAUUGAUCUUAUUAUCCUAGAUUUGGUGGAUUUUGAUAUGAUUCUAGGCAUGGAUUAGUUAUCCCAAUCAUGCGGUCAUGUAUACAUAGUCGUAUGGCAAAAAGUGGUUAUCCAUGAGCCGACGAGGAUUAAUUCUUAUUUUUAUGCUAGAAGGCUUAUUUUGAGGGGUUGCGAGUCUUAUUUUGCUUAUAUUUGUGAUACUAGUGUGAAGAGUCCGUCGCUUGACUCUGUUCUUGUUGUUUGUGGGUUUCUUGAUGUGUUCCCUAUCGACCUGCUUGGUAUUCCCCCUGUCUAUGAGAAUGCAUUUGCUAUUGAUCUUGAGUCAGGCACCUGACCUAUUUCUAUGGCACUUUAUCGUAUGGCUCCUGCCGAGAUUAAGGUGUUGAAUUCUCAACUGCAGGAUCUUCUUAUUAAUGGUUUUAUUAGGUAGAGUGUGUCUCCUUAUGGAGCUCCUAUUUUGUUUGUGAAGAAUAAAUAUGGCUCCAUGCAUAUGCGUAUUGAUUAUAGAUAGCUUAAUAUGGUAACUAUGAAGAACCGUUAUCCUAUGCCUCAUAUUGAUGAUUUAUUUGACCAACUUCAGGGAACGAUAAUGUUUUCUAAGAUUGAUUUGAGAUCUGGUUACCAUCAGUUGAGGAUUUAGGCUGAGGAUAUCCUAAAGAUAGCUUUCAGGAACCGUUAUGGUCAUUAUGAGUUCUUGGUGAUGUCAUAUGGGUUGACUAAUUUCCUAACCACAUUCAUGGAUUUGAUGAACCAAGUAUUCAGGCCUUAUUUGGAUUCAUUUGUGAUUGUGUUCAUCGCUAACAUCCUUUUAUGUUUGUGGAGUAGAGCGGAGCAUGUGCAAUAUUUUAGUUGUGUUUCAGACUUUGAGAGAUCAUGUACUUUUUUUUUGAGAGAUCAUGCUAUUUUUCCUAAGUUUUCUAAGUGUGAGUUUUGGCUUGAGUUGGUGACAUUCCUUGGACAUGUGGUGUCUGAGAAUGGGAUUAUGGUAGACCCAACCAAGGUUAGAGGCAAUUCGUGAUUGGGAUAGACCUACCUCUCCAACUGAGGUUCGUAGCUUCAUUGUGUUGGCCGAUUAUUAUAGAUGAUUCAUUGAGGGUUUUACUACUAUUUUUGCCCCUAUGUCCAGAUUGACUCAGAAGGAAGUUCCUUUUCAAUGGUCUGAGGAGUAUGAGUUGAGCUUUGGAAAGCUCAAUGACUUCCUUACUUCAGCUCCUAUUUUAGCUCUUCCUAUUGAGGUGAGGGAUUCAUUGUGUUUUUUAAUACUUCUAGUGUCAGUUUGGGUUGUGUAUUGAUACAGCAGGGUCAUGUCAAGAGGAAUGAGAACUAGCGGUAUUUCACUAAUAAGGUCCUCAAAUAUUUGAGCGAAUAGUUUGUCUAGAGUGAUUACUUAGGCUCUUGAAACCUUGAGUGAGAUUAGAAAACUUUCCAUAUCUUUAUUGUAUUCCUUCAGUGCCUAUAUUAUGUUUGUUCUCUGCACCAUUUCCUACGCCAACAAAAGAUGGGAGGACUCUGAGGAAAAAAGGGUUUGGAGGUACUUAAUGGGGAGCCCCAUUCUCUCUAAAAAAACUGGUUCCAUUGACAGGAUUUUUGAAAUCCCUCAGCGAAGAGGGGAAAACUAUUGCUCAUUUUCAUGAGCUCCAUUGAAAUCAGUUUUGGUGAGAAGUUUAGUGUGUUAUUUUGGCUGAUGAUACUUAUUAUAGUGGUUAUCUACAUAUUUUUCUCGUAGGUUAGUAGGCUUGAUUUAGACCUUCUAUUACCACUUGAGCUAAACAGAGUGGGUUUUGAAUUAGAAUUGUGAUAGGCGUCCCUUCUUUUUUUAGAUGAAGUGGAAUCACUGAGGUGAAAAACAUAUUUCCAACCAUGAUAUGGACUGAUACUCUGCCGAGUGUGGCUUUGUGGUAAACACUAGUAGAGUUAGAGAAGAUCUCGGGUUUUGGUUGUCCAUUAGGUUUGAGAUUCUUUUCAGGAAGUGAGAGAGCAGUAAGACUUUUAGUGGAAGUAUCAUUGAGAUAUAUAGGAUGAAUGAGGAGAUUAGAAGUGCCUUUUGGUUCCCCUUCAUCAUUACUACCUUUAGUGUCAAUAAAUAAUGAGCUCCUAGAUUUGACAGCCUCACUAAAUUGACUGAUGGGAGUCGGUUGUUCCUUUGUAAAUAUCGCUGCCAUUUGAGUACCAGAGGGAGAGAGAGUUGGAUUCUCAAAGGUUGUUGUCUAGCUCAUUAAUAUAGAUACUAUUUUAGGGUUGAAGAGAGAGUUGGGCUUAUCCACUGCCAUUGGUGUGGACUGAAUUUAGGACCAUUGGAAUUUUUAUGGGUCAAUCUGGGGUGGCCUUAUUCUAGGGCAAGGAUGGAUGAUCUGACCUAUUGUCCAUAGGCCAUUCCUUAUUUUCUCUUGGGUUAAUUGGGCUAGUUUUUUGGAAGUUCGAUCCUAGUAUCCCAUCACCAGUUCAUUCCUGGGUAGUUAGGGCUUGGUGUUCCUUACCUUUUCCUUCCCUGGCAUUGGUGUUGGCCUAAACUUGGUGGUAAGAGGAGUAUCUGAAACUACAAGUUACGAAGAACUUCCCAGAUGUAUCAUCAAACAACCUUACCUUAAUGUAUUGAUUGUGGAUACUAUUACCUUUGUCUUGUGAUUUUGCUAAUGUUUUCCUUCUUCUGGUAAAGGGCACUAUUUUCCAGUAUUCCUCUUGUGGUGUUGCGUCCUUAGGAGCUUAAGUGGUUGGGUGGUUGGUUUGGGUUUUCUUAUACACAUAUUGAACCACUGUAAAAAAUAGUCUCCCAUAUCUGUUGCAUAAUAGACCCCCCUUUGUAUAGGAUAGUAUGUUUGUGUUGAAAUAUGACCACCGACGUUUUUACUGAGUAUCUAGCGGGACUUGUAUACAAUUUAUCACAUAUCUCUCUCUCAAUGUUGCGAUUAUGCAAGCAUUAAUUUUUAGCAAAUCCCCUAUUUUUUUCCCAUUUUCUCAAUUAUUUGUUUAUCAUAGAACUUCGUGGGGGGUUAAGGUACGCAGAUCCAUAUAGCUGUGAACUUUAUUCUGGGUUCUUUUGGGAUAAAAUUUGGUUCUCAUACUCUUUCUGAGAGGAAGGAGGCCGCUAUGAAUCACGGUCUCUCUUGAGUUAUUCUCUUUUAUGAACCCUCGUCAUUCAAUUUAUCGUGUAAUAGUCAAGCCCGAGGUCAAUAAUAGUUAUGCUUUCCUUUAGCUUCCAUAGAUCUGCUUUUUUUUUUUUGAGAUAUUGAUGCUUCAUUUUCUUCCCUAAAAUCUUGAUAAUAACUGAGAACUUCUAUGGUACGUAGAGUCUUUGUUUUUCUUGGGCUGACAAAUGGAUGAACUCUUCUUAUGAAUUUUGGAGAUCUAGGCAGUUCUCGAUCUCUUUGUUGGGGGGUAAAAAUCCACCUCUAAGGAGUUUUUGGUCAUUAAAAUAUAUUUAUAGAUUUUUUUUGGGUGUUAUCGACUCCCAUAUGGCAAUCCAUAACAUUGGGUCGUUUAGGCGGGGUUGGGAUGGAAUUUGAGACAUGGUCAUAUUCUGGUCAAGAUUUGAAUUUAGGGUAUUUUAGGGAGAAGUUGGUCUUCACUCUCUUAUAACUUUUUCCUAAUCUCACUUCUUCAAUUGUUUGUAUUGUGGUGGAAUAUGAAUUCUUAACAUGGGUUGUGGUGCAAUGGAUGGGGCUGUCCACCCUUAACCAGAGGUCGAGGGUUCGAUCCUGGGUAUGGAGAAAACUCUGUUGGGAGCGCUGCCACCUUAAUGGCCUUGGAACGCACAAUCCGGAUUAGUCGAGGCUCCAAUGUGGACACCGAACACCGGAUGGGAAACAAGAAAAAGGAAUAUGAAUUCUUAUAUCAUUCAUAUUAUAUUUAAAAAAGGUAAUAUAGCAUGAGUUACGUCAAGUGAUGACUUUAGAACCAACAACUUGGCACUUUUACAACAAAAAAUAUUUCAAAUUAAAAUAAUUAUUAAUUUGUGAAGAAAAUUAAUUAAUAAUCACAACUAUUUUACCAGUAAAUCUAUUUCAGAUUCGUAAUAAAAUUAAAUAAUAAUAGCUUAGAAUAAUUCCUUAAAUUAAGCCACUGGAUUCUGAAAAAAGUUAAUUAUGCAGUACAUAAUUAUAAUCAAUAUUAAUUGUGUUUUUGCAUCAAAUGAAAUGCAACUCAUCAAUUACGUCAUUUUCUAUUAUAUCUCAUGAAUUUAUUUUAUUGUGAUGAAAAACUAAUAAGUUCCUAAGUUCACUUCAACAGUCAUCAACAAAAUUUAUGCACUAUAAUACAUAACUAAGUUACAUUGUAAAAAUAUAGUUCAAAACUUACCCGACAAGUUUGAAGCAAAAAAUAUAUUAGCACAUUAUCGAUAAAAAAUACAUUUUAGUCAUCAUAAAAAUUUGCAUAAAGUCACCUUUGAUAAACCUCCUUCCACUAUUUCACAAUUCUUUUAUAGCAGUGUUUUAAAAGUUCAAUAUACAACAUUAUACAUUGGCAGACAAUAAUAUACAAAAUUUUAAUUAUUUUUUUCUAUAAUUAAAAACUUGAUAUACAAUAAUAUAAAGUCGAUAUACAAUAUUAAGAAAAAUUAUGAGAGAUGUAUAAUGCAUUCAUAUACAGUACUAUACAUUGUAAUACGUUGUCAUUCAAAAAAUUGACUUCGUCUUCUUCCUUUAAUCCAAGCAUCAAAUUCAUUUAAAACCACCUCAAAAAAUCGUGCCACCCAAAAUUUCAAAUUUAAUUUCCUCAAUACGUACCCGUUCUUUUUUAGUAAUACUCAUUCAAAAUGAAGUUUAUUUACAGAAUCAAAGGAACUUUACAAGUUCUUCUUCUUCUUCCUUAAGCUUCUUCUGAAAUUUAACUCAAAUCUGCUCUAAAUCACUCAAAUUCUUAAGUUUUGAACUGCUAUUGGUGUUUUCAGUUAAUUGAAAUGACGCUUAAUAAGUCUCUAAGUAAACCCAACAACACGUAUUUCAAAAUUAAUCUCAAAUAUCAUAUUUGAGUUUGACUUUCAAACUGAAAAUCUCAAAUCUGGUUUAAACUUAAAGCUUGAACAUGAAAGAAUUAAAUUAACUGAUAAAUAUACGUAGAAGAAGAACACAAAUAUGUAAUGAAAGAAAAAUGGAGGUCACUAGAACAAUUGUUGAAGAAAAAUCAUUAUUGCUCUUAAGGGGAAAAACGUGAGAGAAAGAAAAAAGAAGUUUGAAAAAAAUUAAAUAAAUGACCAAGUGUAUUAAAUGCUAACUGGCUUAAUUGGGCGACAGACUGAAAAGUAAGUUUUUGGGGUUAUACAAUCAGAAAAUUAUAUGAGAUGACCCCAAAAGUGGGUGACUUUCAAUUUUUGACCUUCAUAAGAAAAAUCUUUAGAUACUAACCUUUUUUUUAAUGUAUAGUAUAAGUAUAUUUUAUCCCUCUACACCUCAAAUAUUUUAAAACUUUUUUUUCUCAUUUGUCUCUCAACUUUUAUUUUAAUUUUUAUAUUUUUUACCUUAAAUUUUUUUGUUUUUCUUAUUUUAAUUCAUUUGUCUCAACUUUUAUUUUUCUUUUACUUAUUUUCUCAUUUUUCUUUUUUUCGUCAAAUAUUAUUUAUUUCUUUAUUCUUUCUCUCUCUUUUUAAUUCAUUGAUCUCAGCCUUUUUUUUUGUCAUUUUUCAUUUCCAUUUUUUUUAUUUUUCUCAAACUUUAUUUAUAUUUUUUUCUUCUCAUGUUUGUUUUUCUUAAUCUUUUUUUGGUUACUUUUUUUUAUUAUUUAUUCUUUUUCUUUUUCUUAACCUUUAUUUUUUUCUUGCCUUUUUGUCUUUCCUUCUCAUUUUUUUUAUUUGUCUAUUUUGUUUGCUCUCUUUUCUUUUUUCUUAGCUUCUAUUAUAUUUUAUUAAUAAAAAUAAAAUUGAAUAAUCCACAAAGGGAUCUUCUUUUUUGACAUCGAAGCAAAUUUAAGGGCAUGACUUGUUGUUAGGAAAUCUUUUGGCAUAAGCUUGUGUCUAAGGUAAAAAUAAUAGAAUAACUCAUAAAUCAAGACACAAUGUGGUAGUGUCAAAUCUUGCUUGUGGAACAUAACUUGUUUGAAAAUCCUUGAGUUAAGUCUUGCUUCUCAGGCAAUAGUUCUAGAACAUCUCAUAAAUCAAGAAAUAAUGUGAUAGUGUCAACACUUGUCCAUUGGGCAUAACAUGUUAUUUUGGGAGGUUUUUGGGCUAAGUCUUGUUUUAGAGACAAGACUAAUAGAGCGUCACAUAAAUCAAAACACAAUAUGAUAGUGUCAACUCUUAUCCAUGAGGCGUAACUUGUUGGCUAAGUGCUGCCUCUAAGGCAAGAGUUAUACAAUAUCUAAUAAAUCAAGACAUGAUGUGGUAGUGUCAACUCUUGUCAAUGGGGCGUUACUUGCUGUUUGAAAGUUCUUGGAUUAAUUUGUGCCUCUAAGAUAAAAGUUAUAGAACAUAUCAUAAAUUAAGACAUAAUGUGUGAAAAACUUAGACAUUGAACCAUUGAAAGAAACUCCCCAUUUGAUAUCACUAGGGUGGGUAUGACUAGGGGAACAAGUCGUACCCUUUGGAUACGAGUCGUAUCCUCCUUCCCUCCCUCUCGUAUCCUAGAAGUGUGGUUAGGGUUACUCACUAUCCUAGGUAUGAGUGACCCUCUCCUCAAUCAUACCCUAAGUAUACAGUUGUACCCAACAUAAUUGUACAGAGGAAAGUCUUAGCUUGAGUGGACUAUUUUGGGUACGGGUGGUGUAUAAGAGUUAGGGGUCGAGUCAUACCCUUUGGAUAUGACUCAAGGGUAUAUGAUUGUACCCUUAACAAUGUAGGUUACCUAAGAGAAGCCUAGGGUAUGAGUCAGGGUACCACUCGUACCCUAAGGUACGUUUCGUAUGGUUAGUCGUAUCCCUGCAUGGGUUUAUUUUAUAGUUUUUAACUAAGGGACUUAUGGUCAUUUCCCGACCUUAAACCCUAAGUACCUUUACUAUAUAAGUGUAUAAGGCCUCCUAAAAGAAGUUUUAGUGGAUCAAACAUCUAAAACACUCUCUCAACUCAUCUUUGAAGAAUUGGAGGCUAGGGUUUCAAGAGUGACCUUAAGAAGUAAAGUGAAGUCAAGACUCUUGGUGAAUUAAGUUGUAUAAGGCAUGUAACUCUUCCUCUUGUUAAGUAACUCUAAAUCCAUGUAUUUUACAGUUGGAUUAAUAAGUGUACAUAGUGAUUUUGAAAUCAUUGAAAAGGGUUUUGUUGCCUAAUGAUGUAUAAUGUUGACUCUUGCUUAGACUUAUGUUCAUACAUGUCAUUUAUGGUGAUUUUCAUAUGUGGGUGCUUGUUGUAUGUGGUUUAAAAUGAGGGUCUUGAGUAACCCUAAUCUUUAUGAUUUCUACUGUGAAAAUAGCCUUGUUAAAGGUAUGCACAUAAGGUAUUUAUAAAAAUGUCUAAGUGACUUAUCUAGUCAUAUGUUGGUGAUAUUUUGAACUAGGGCAAUGGACUAAUAAGUAUGAAUAGUUGAUAAAUAAUGUGUUAAAAGUAUUGGGAGCUAUGUAUUGUAUAAUUGAAGACUAUAUUGGGAUAAUUGACUAAUAAGGGGUUGAAAACCCUAUACAUGAUAGUGUAUUUGAAUUGUGUAUUAAAUCAAAUAUGGUGAGAAUAUGGUAUAAGAUGGUUAAUGAAAUAUGAAUAGUUUGUGAGGGACUUGAUGUCUAUAACUUGAAUUGUAUGAUGGAUUGAAAGAAGGCAAUGGCUAUUGAAAUGGUUGAGCAUUGAAGGCUCCCAUAAGGACCAUGGGGUCAGGUAUAGUGUUGAAUUAGUUAAGUGGUUAAAGUCCUUAGUAUUGUAUGGAAUGAAUGUUGAUGCUUGGUCAAAAGGUUAAAGUCCCAUUAUCAACUAAUAUUAGUUGUGAUGGCUUGAGGUUGAAGUCCCUUUCCUUAUGAAAUAGCUCGAGGUUGAAGUCCAUUGCCUUAUGAAAUAUCUUGAGGUUGGAGUCCCUUGACCAAUGAAAUUACUUGAGGUUAAAUUCCCUUGAAUAAAGAGAUCUCUUGAGGUUAAUGCACCUCACCAAAUGAAAUGGCUUGUGAUUAGAGUCCCUUGGCAUGAGGAUAGUGUCCCUUGUCUAACGAAUAGGCAUGAGGUUAAAGUCCCUUACCUAGAUUAAUUUGUGUUUGGUUAGAAUCCCUUGUUUGAAUGAUUGUGUAUGCAGUUAAAGUCCUUGGCUGAUGAAUGUCUGAGCAUGGUUAAAGACUUUUGUCUAAUUGUAUGUGAUUGUGGUUAAAGUCCUAUACCUAAAUAGAAUUGUCAAAUCUAAGUGUGGAAGGCUGGAGUCCUCCGUUUUAUAUCUAAUGAAUGAAUGUUAAAGAAUGUUGUUAAGCCUUGAUUUCUUAGUUAGCAUGUGAUAUACCUCUAUGUAAGGAUAAAGUAUAUGAAUAUGAUUAAAUAUGAUAUAUUGGCGUGUUGUUGAAUAAUAAUGCUACUUUAUCCUUAUUCUUGAGUUACAUGCUAGCAUUCCAAAUGCUAACCAUCUACGAAUGCUAUGUACUCACAUGACAUAGGGGCUGGAGCAUCAUCUUAUAUUCCUACAUAGUGAAUUAGGUUAAUGUAGCGGUUUGUGCAUUGACUUCGGAGUGGUGAGCUUUCUUAUUUUGGAAGACAUUUAUCUUGGUCUCCUAUAUUUAGACUUUGUUUUAUUUUGACUUGGUUUGGCUAUUGUCAGGGGCUUAUCCCGACAUAUAUAUUUCUAAACUUCAGUUGUAUAGAGGUAUUGUGGAUGACUGUGGACUUGGGUAUAUUGCCUAGUGUGUUGAUAUUUAUAAAAUGGUUUAACAUUGUUAAGUUACGACUUUUAGUAUUGUUUAUGCUAUCUUAUUAGGUGGUUAGGAUUUACUCGACCCUUAUGUUUGAUGUGAUGAUUGUGAUGGGUUAUCGAGCGAGCUCCGACUCUUGUGGGCUUGAGGUGUCCAUAUGACAUGGCCCGAUUUUGGAUCGUGUCAAGUUGGUAUCAGUGCCUAGGUUCAUGGUCAGUUAGGUAUCCAUAAUACCGUGUCGAGUAGAGUCUAUUUUAUGGGUGUGAAGAGCGCCACACUUAUAAAAGAGGAUCUAUGAGACAUUUUAGGAAAUGUUUUCCUUUCUUAUGUUUUAAUCUUAAGCUAUCGAGUCUAAGGUCUUGGAUUCCUAUGAUUUUUGUUUGUUAUCUUUCUGAUCAUGCCUCAUGGAGAUCUGAGACUUAGCUAAACCCUUUUGAGGGCCCUAUAGCUGAAGCUCGUCCAACUUCUGGAGUUUGGACCCAGGCUAGGGCUGCAACAUCCGACCAUCUUCAUAGGGUUCCACCUGUCCCUACUAACCCCGACUAUAAGAGUGACCCUCUUAUUCUGUGACCUCAUAGGGAUGCUACUAAUUCUGAGUUUCAUCACUUUAUCAACCUCUUGACUCAAUUGGUAGCCUCUCAAUCGGAGCGUGAUUUUUUGACUAUUAUUUGUUUUAAGGCUAUAAGAAUUGGACAAUUUAGUAGGUUGGGCCCUCCUACGUUCUCCAGUACUAAUAUUGAGGAAGAUCUUCAAGGCUUCGUUGAUGAAAUAGAGAAGAUUCUUUUGAAUCAUGCAUGAUUCAGAGAUUGAUUCUAUUGAGUUUGCUUUCUACCAAUUGAAAAAUGUUGCAUACCAAUAGUAUGAGGGGUGGGAGUUGUCUAGAGGUGUUGAUGCUAGUCCCACCAUGUGGAAGGGUUUGUUCGAGGGUUUCUUAAACCACUUCUUUCCUCAAGAGUUGAUGAAGGCAUAGGCGGAAAAAUUUGUGAAUUUGAAGAAAUAGAGGAUAUCAGUUGAAGAGUAUGCCUUAAAAUUUCAUCAAUUGUCAAGGUAUCCUCCCGAGAUAGUCUCUAGCAUGAGGUUUAGAAUGCAUGAAUUUGUCUCAGGAUUGUCUCGUGAGUUAGUCCUUGAGAGCAAGGUGGCCUUGUUGAUCAAAAGCAUGGAUAUUUCCUAGGUUUUUUUGUGUAUACGCAACAAGUGGAAAAAGAGAAAAAGAAGAAAGUUGAGCUUAGUGAGAGGCAAGGAAAGAAAUUUAGGCCUUCUGAGAAUAGUGGUGGUGAUGGUGGCAAGCGACCACGGAAGAAGUGAGGAAGUUUGAGUUUUUUCUCCUCGGCUAGUGUUCGCUCUCCUUACCUAAAGUUUUUGGGUAGUCACCGGUCUCAGUUUAGUGGUGGGUCCCAAGCAUAGUGGUGCCCAGUCAUCUCUAACCCGCCCUCUUUGCAGAUUCUAUGGUCAGAGUCAUCAUGUUCAGUGUGAGAAGGGUAUAAACAGAUAUUUCCACUAUGGUUAGAUUGGGCACAUGCAGUGUGAGUGUCUUUCUUUAGCAGCUUUUUGGGCCAAUAGGGCCCCUAUUGCUACUCCCUCUACUCCCACACCGAAGGGUGCUGUAUCUUUCUAUGCUUCUAUUUCUAGCACCGAUGUUAGCCGAAAUUGCUUGUAUGAACUUAUUACUCGCCAGUAUUUUGAGGCAUCUUUCGAUGUUAUCACUCGUAUGUUGAGACUUUUCUCUCGUGAUGUGUAUUGUUUUCUUGAUCCAUGAUCUACUCUUUCUUAUGUGACCCUGUAUGUGGUUGUGCAUGUUGAUUGUGGUCCCAAUAGUCUGUUGGUUCUUUUUUUUAUUUCUACCUUGGUAGGAUAUCCUGUGAUUGUUAUAAGGGUCUAUAAGGGGUGUGUGAUAUCAGUUAGUUGUAGAGAUACUCUUGUAGACUUGAUAAAGUUGGACAUAGUUGAUUUUGAUGUCAUUUUGGGGAUGGAUUGGUUGCACUCUUGCUAUGCUUCCUUAGAUUGUUGGACCCAUAGGGUCAUGUUUAAAUUCCCUAUAAGCCGAUGAUUGUAUGGGUAGGUAGUUCACUAGUGCCUAAGCCUUUGUUUGGAUGGUGGUUUGCCAUGGUUUCAUAAUGUAUGGUAUAGUAUAGUAUGCUAUGGUACAGUAUGGUAUAGUACAGUACCAUGUUUGGAUGGACUGUAUUGUUCACUGCGGUUUAAUAAUAGUUUUUUUGUUUGGUUUGAUGGUAUGGUACUGUAUGGUAAUAGGUAAAUUUACUAAAAUGCCCCUAAAUGAUUAUUGCUAGAAUUGACUAUUUCCUUCCGAGUCCUAGCUUUGCUCGAUCAUUUGAUCUCAACAACUCAGCUGAGAAGAAUGUCAUAACUCAGAUAAGAAGUCAUUGUAAGCAAAAACACCAUUUUCAAUAACCACGAUUCUCCCAACAAGUGAUUCUCCAACUAUUUUUUUUAAAUGAAAGGCCAACAAUCCUGAAUUUAUUAAAUAAGAAAACAAAGGGUACAUAAUUGAUGAUGCCCAAUUCGGCUCAAUUUGAAAGCAGCCUAAGAAAAACUAAAACAAAUGUAAAAAACUAAGAAAGGACAAAAAUAAAAGGAAAAAUCUUUGGAUGACAUAGGAAAGUGGAAGGUGAGGAGUUCAGUUUCAUCUCCCUCGUAGUAUAUGAUUAAUCUCCUAAAAAUGCUAACCACUUUAGUCCGCCAUGGAACCUUUUAUCAGCACAAAAACGAAAGGUAAAAAUUUAACUUUCUUGAUUAUAUCUGACUAUCAAAUGAUCCAUUGUCUCUCUACCAGGAUUGAAUCAUUUGUUUCAAUGACGAGCGUCGAAGAAGAGAAGACGAAAAAAAGAAAAAAAAGUCAAAAAAGAACAAGAAACAAAGAGUAGAGAUAGAUUGGGAGUAGAAAAGUAUAGGAAUAAGUAAAUAGGAUAAAGGGUAAAAUAGGAUUAAACAAAGUUAUACAAGGGCAUAUUUGGAAAAAAAGAGGGAAACCAUUGGAUACCACCAAAUUGAUGGUUUAGGAAAUUGGGGGAUUCCAUGGUUAUCAAACCAUGGAAAAAUACCAUACCAUACCAUUCCUUUUAGAAAACAAUAAAAAAGAAUGGUUUCCAUAGUAACCAUACCAUACCAUACCAUGGGAAACCACCAUCCAAACAGACUAUAAGGAAAGGUUCAUUUCUUAUCUAAAGGCCCAAAAGUUGAUUUCAAAAGGGUGUUUGUAUUAUUUGGUCCAAGUUAAAGAUUCUAACUUAGAAGAGCCUUCACUAGAAUUCAUUCCUGUGGUGAUUGAGUUUCCCGAGGUAUUUUUGGAUGAUCUUUUUGGUGUUCUUCUCGAUAGGGAAUUGAUUUUGGGAUUGAUCUUGUUUCAGGCACUCGUCCAAUUUCUAUCCCUCCUUAUAGAAUGGCUACGGCGGAACUUAAAGGUCUUAAGAAUCAAUUGAAAAACCUCUUAGAUAAAGGUUUUAUCCAUAUUACUGUGUCUCAGUUGGGUGCUCUCGUGUUGUUCGUGCGCAAGAAGGAUGGUUCCCUUUUUAUGUACAUUGAUUAUCAUCAGUUGAGCAAAUUGAACAUAAAGAAUAAAUAUCCUCUUCUUAGGAUCCAUGAUUUUCGUGAUCAACUUUAGGUUUUGAAGUGUUUCUCUAAGAUUGAUCUUAUAUCGGGUUAUCAUCAGCUUAAGAUUAGGGAUACAGAUAUCCCUAAGGCUGCUUUUAGAACCCGAUAUGGUCACUAUGAGUUUCUUGUUAUGUCCUUUGGGUUGAAAAAUGCCCUGACAACAUUUAUGGACUUAGUCAUCAACUUUAUUGAUAAUAUCUUAGUCUAUUCUAAGAGUGAGGCAGAUCAUGUAGAUCACCUCUGUGCCGUGUUGCAAACUUUGAAGGAUCAUUGUUUGUAUGCCAAGUUCUCCAAGUGUGAGUUUUGGUUGAAAGCCAUAUCUUUUCUUGGUCAUGUCAUCUCUAGUGAAGGGAUCAUGGUAGAUCCCCAAAAAUAUACGGCAAUUAAGAAGUGGCCUAGACCUACGACUCGAACCGAUAUUCAGAGUUUCUCUACUCUAGCUUCCUUAUUGACCAAGUUGACCCAAAAUAAUGUCAAGUUCUUAUGGUCUAAUGCGUGUGAUGGAAGUUUUGAGAUGUUGAAAGUUAAGUUGACUUUGACUUCUAUUUUGACCUUGCCCGAGGGUAGUGAUGUUUUGUGGUAUAUUGUGAUGCUUCUCGUAUUAGUCUCAGUUACAUGUUGAUGCAAAAUGGUAGGGUGGUAGCCUAUUCUUUUAGGUAAUUGAAAGUUCAUGAGAAUAACUACCCUACUCAUGACCUAGAGUUUUUAGCCGUGGAUUUUGCAUUAAAGAUUUGGAGACAUUACCUUUAUAGGGUUCAUGUUGAUAUCUUUUCCGAUCAUAAGAUUUUCUAAUAUGUGUUUACCUAAAAAGAUUUAAAUCUCCAACAAAAAAGGUGGCUCAAGUUGUUGAAUACUAUGAUAUGAGUCUUCAUUACCAUCCCGAUAAGGCAAAUGUAGUCGCCGAUGCUCUUAGUAGAUUGUCCAUGGGGAGUUUGGCACAUGUAGAUGAGGAUAAGAGCGAAUUGGUAGAGGACAUUCACCAUUUGGAUAAUCUUGGAGUUUGACUUUCGAACUACAAAUAUAGUUGUAUACUUGUGCUCCCGGUAUCUCAAUCAUCUUUUGUUGUUGAGAUAAAGAAAAAACAAGCAUUGGACCCCGACUUGAUGAAGAUCACGAGUACUAUGGGUUAACACAAAGUUGCGGACUUUAUGAUUGGUGGUGAUGGUGUCUUGAGAUACCAUAGUUUAAUGCUCUGAAUCUGGUACCCAUAAUGGUACACAGUGCCUAUGACCCGAAGGACCAUAAGCUAACCUAUGACUGAUAUCUGUACCUGUACACUGCAUAAUAUAUGUAUAUAAAUGUGGAAAGAAAGGCUGAUAGGCCAUAAGGUUCAAUGCUGUAACAUAACUAAUAAAAACAUAACAUCUUAAUGGGGUAUUGAAUACCCAAAACAACUAAAAUAAACUAUCUAAACAUAAUAGUCUGAAAAGCCUCUAACUGUCUGAAUAAGGAGUUGAUGGGAUAGGUCCCCAACUAACUCUGGCUACUGAAAUAAACUAAGUACGAAAAUAAUAAAAUAAUAAUCAUUUCCUCGAAGGAUGAGGACUCGCUGCUAGCUAUGACUGCUGAUGUGAAAAUGCUACUGGUGCUCUAGAGCUCGUGCCUCAGAACCUAUGGCGUAUAGUAAAACACCAUCAUGUGUCAAAUACGUCAGUACAAUGGAAUGUACUGGUAUGCAUGUGAGGUAGGCUAAUGCAAUGGUUUCACAUGCAUGAACUAUGCUAACUGACUGAAUAAUAUGAAUGUAAGAAUACAUGCAUGAAUAAGAGACUGUAACUGAAUUCAUGAUAAUAUGAUUACUAAGCCUGAAUACUGAUAACAUGGAAAUUCUGAUAACUGAUGUAACUAAUAUAACUGAUAUUCUGAGUGACUAUGUUUGACAGUCUAGUUUCUUAUGGAAUUAUUUGAGUCCCGUACUAUUCUGAGUUAACUAUAUCUGGCAGUCCUGAAAUCUGAAGAAUAUCUGGCAGUCCUAAAAUCUGAAGAACUAUAUGAGUUUUUUUACUGAAAUUGUAUGAUUGUAUAUGACAGUACUGAUUCUAUAACUGAAACUGUGGGAAGUAGUAUCUAACCAACAUGCCCUAAAAUGCGUCAUAAUAGCUGAGCUGGAGUCCAAUCUGUGCCCUGAUUGGAAGGGUGUCAAUACCGCGCCACUGGUAAGGACAAGCUGUGAGUGACCCUCAUCUAAUAGGUAACUCUAAUGAGAACGGUGGGAACCCUCAUAUAAUUGGUUAAGCCACAUCAUCUACCACAUAUAACAGGCUAUGAUGUCUCAACCUACGCUAGCUACGUAGUUCUUGAAUGCAAGGAUUGCUUCUAAGAAUCACACCCUUAUAUAAUAGGUGCGUUCCCAUCCUUAGGAUUGCUCGGUGCUAAUACUCCCAUCUGAAUACACACUGAACAUGAUUAACUGAGCUGGACUAGACUAAAUUUAUGGAGUUCCGUUGACUAAAGGAAUACUACUGGGAUUACUGAAUUUCUCAGCUUUCUUGAGUCACAUGACUGACUGAGUUCUAUGGAUCAUAUCCUGACUGAGGAUAUCGUGAAAACAUGACACUAUCUCUAGGCACACAACUAUGUUUUUCGGGUACAAGUACCCCCAUGACUCGAUAGAAGAAAACUAACAAAGUAUGACUUUCUUGAAUACAUGACCAACAUCAACAAUCCAUAAUAUAAUAAGUUGGGGAUUUCAUGAAGUACAUGGUUAUCAUAAUCUUGUACAUGAAUGGGAAUACAUAUCAACAUAUCAACAUUUCAUCAACUAGUACCAUAAGUAACCCUUCAAACAUCCAUAAUGUACAACAAUAUCAUAGAAGCCAUUUUGAUAAUAAAGGUAAAGCAUGCAUUUGUCAUUUUGAUCACAGUUUAGCUAUAAGGCAUAAUUUAUAUCCCUUUAAGUAUUUUAUCAAACACCUUACAUGCACAACUUAAGGCAUAGGUGAAAUAAACAAAUUUCACAAAUCAUAAACCACCAAAUUCAUGGAUUUCAAUUUAUAUGCUAUCGUAGUUUCAUAAUUUCACAUAAAUAUCCCAACUUGGGAAUUGAUACGGGUACGAUCUACGAAGUGCUAAAACAGUCCACAACAUAAGGAGAAAUUGUGAGCAAGAUAGAGAUAAGUCACGGCAACAAUGCAAAUACACGAGAUAAAGAAGAUAAGAUACAAACAUACAAAGUGAAAUAAGAUAAGGGAUAGGCAAGAUGACAUAAGAUCUUACGAAAUAAUGAAAACCAACAUGUGUAUUGAACGAAAAGACCCUCAAAGUCUCAAUAAUCAAACACCAAUCUUCAUACGCUGACUGCUAAGGGAAUCAAAUAAUCAAACACCAAUCUUCAUACGCUGACUGCUAAGGGAAUCAACUCACCACAAGAACCACCGUUUCUAAGCAAAUGUCAAUAUUGGCUUUUCCAAGACCUAAACUAUAAUAGCUUUUCCAAGCCCUAACUAAGACUACACUAAGGUGUUCUACUCUCAAAGAGAGGACUUUCAAUGUUUCAAUAUUUUAUCAUUCAUAAAACUAGUAAGAAAAUAACUAACAGAGACUAUAUAUAGCCUAGCUUAUUACAUGGUAAAAUGACCAAGACACCCUUAAUGACCAAGAGGUGGCCUUGGUGUGUUAAAAAAUAAUAUGAAUUGUUCAAAAUACCCUCAAGGCUAAGUUACCAAAAUGCCCUUAAUAAAAGGAGCCAAAACCGUGAAUCAACAAAGUGUGGUCUAACCCAAGAGUCCUCAAGUCUUCAAGGGUCCAAGAAAUCUUUCACACUCGGGUUUGUCCAAUGGCAUGCUCAUAAUGACCUCUCCAAACAUGAUCCCGUGCCCUCCAUAUGACCAAAGCUUAAUUCUUCACGUAGUGACUUUGAAGGAUAUUGUAACACCCCAAAAAUGGGUCCCGAAGAGUCACACGGUACUUAAGGCUACGAGUAGUCCCAAGCUAACCCUUUGAGCCAUUUUCAUUCAGUUCAACACGAAUCAACGGGGUUUCCAUAAAUAACCCUCAAAUAUCAACAGAGUAAUCAUCAUCCAAGAAUAAAAGAAUUUCAGAAAGCUAACAAAAUAUGACUUAUUAGUCAACUCUCAACAUCUAUACUAGUCUGACAAGCUUCUAAGAAAAUUAAUAAAACCAGCGAGCCAUUGAGACAUGCCCCAACUGACUCAUACUCAGUUAUGAAAUGUAAAUAAUUCCAUGAAACCAACAUCAGACAUCACGUCCUUGGAACAUGAGGACUCACCAUGACAGAGGAUGUAGAAUAGCGUGCCCGAAGAAUCACUGUCGAACCUAGAACUGAGCACCUGAACCUAUAUUUUGAGAAAAUGCAGCCCACAUCNNNNNNNNNNNNNNNNNNNNNNNNNNNNNNNNNNNNNNNNNNNNNNNNNNNNNNNNNNNNNNNNNNNNNNNNNNNNNNNNNNNNNNNNNNNNNNNNNNNACACACACACUGGGAGAUCCUAUAACCGACAUAAACCAUGUGAGCCACAUGGAGUCCAACGUCCAACCCACGUUGGGGAGAGCCGUCCUAUGCUUGCCAUCGGAGUAGGACUUCCAAUAUGAAUCCAAAAACACUAGUGAUCACUAUAUAAAUUAGCCUCAGGCUCAUGUCUUAUGGGGGCAUGUAGUUCUAAGGAAGUAAGGUCACUUUAUACCUCCCACUCGUGCUAAAGAGUACUCCCAUACUUAGCUAAGAUCAUUUCAAAGACAAUCCACAACAAAACAACUUUCAUCAAUAUAUAAGUAUACAUCGGGAGCCAUCAUGCUACCCAUUUAUCAUAAUGAAACACGUUGUGGAUUUCUUUCACAUUCGAGUUCAAAGCGANNNNNNNNNNNNNNNNNNNNNNNNNNNNNNNNNNNNNNNNNNNNNNNNNNNNNNNNNNNNNNNNNNNNNNNNNCAAAAUUUCAUAAUAAUCAUCAUAGAAUAUGAGUUCAUGAUUCAAAAUCAUAAUAAUCAAGUAAAAAUCAUGUCUUUGUAAAGAAAAUUACUUUUGGGAACAAGAACGAAAGAGUGCUCUUGUUGAAAAAAAACCCCACAUACCUUGAAAUUGACCUCUUAAUUAUGGAAUCCUGUUCACACAAAUAAGGGGUGCUCCUGGAAGGUCUCGAGAUGAUGAGUUCGAUUAUCCGAUUAAAUUUGAAUUUCUACGGUGAAAUUGGAAGAUAUUUGGAGCUCAAAAUGGACCUAGGGUUUACUUCUCUCAUUGUUUUUGAUGGAAGAACAUGAAUUUUAUGGCUCAAUAUAGGUAGGACAAUUUUCAUCCAUGAAGUGAAGGCAUAAUGACCAAAAUGCCCUUAAAAAUCAACUAAUUCUCAAAUCUGUCCUUUGGUGGACUGUUUUGAUAGUCUGAAGUAGAUCAAUCAUAAUGUUGUACUCCGAUAUUCAAAUUGGAUGAAACCAAUUUUGAUUAAAAAGAGGACUCUCAUAUCUUUCCGUUGAUAUAUAGUAUCUCACCCAGAUCAUUGUGUACGAGGAGUUAUGAUCAUUUGAAGUUGACCCAAAAAUUUACUUUUGAUAGGUUGAAGUAGAUCGACCAUAACUUUUUUCUCCAAUAGAAAAAUUGGAUGAAACCAAUUUCAUCGGAAAGAGGACUCAUAGAUCUUUCCGUUGAUAUAUAGUAGAUCACCUAGAUCAUUAUGUACAAGGAUUUAUGAUCGUUUAAAGUUGGAGCAAAAAAAUGCCAGGCCUCAGUACUUUUUCCUGCAUGUUUUACUGUUCAUUAUUAUUCACGGUUCGAUCAGAAUGUUCAUAACUUGUCGCUCGGGUGUCCGUUUUGGAUGAUCCACAUAUCGUUGGAAAUAUUAUUCGAUACUCUACCCAAUGGUGGGUCAUAAUCUAAGAUAUUCCACACGAAAAAUUUAUAAUUCAUUUUAAAAGAUAGAACCCUACACGUUUAUGCAUAAAAUUUUAACAAAAUAUUUCUCAGGGUAUUAGAGAUAUCAUAAAUAGCUAAGGCGGCCAUUUGAAUUUUAUCAUUCUCCCUUAUUAAAAAGGAUUCGACCUCAAAUCUAUACCUUGCAAAACUAGAAUAAGGACAAACAAACAUAACAUCUUCAUGGCUUGAGGGUUAGAAUUUGCAUAAUAAUAAACAUCUUCACUCCAAGGCGGCACAUUCUUGGAGUAUAACCAAGGAUCCUUUGAAGGGAAUAUUAAAAACUCAACGAAAGAUGUACAAAGGAUUUGGAUAUGGAUUCAUCAAGAGCUAAACUUUGCUUGUCAUGUAGACCAAGCAACAAGUUGGGUGCACCAACAUUACCAUUUCUUCAUGUGACACUGGGGUCAAACGGGAAGAGUGGCCAUACACAUGGGUCUAGAAAAUACUUUCCAUUCCUGUGGUCUCUACCCAAUCUAAAUGACACUCUCUCUAUAAUAGCAUAUAUAUAUAAUCCAAAGAAAGUAGAAAGCAGAUGAAGGUAUCACUCAAAUAGACUUCUACUAGGGUGCCCUCAUGUAUGUACUCAUUACUUGUUUCCCAUCCAUCACCAUGAUUGCUCUCAAUAAUAAAGUCACACAAAGUAGAAGAAGGAUUAGUUUCCAAGACCACUCAUUACUUGCCCUUAAGAGUACUCUCAUCUCCCAAGAAAGGAUUUCCAUCUUUAGGAGGAAGGUUGUCACACCAUAGUGGGUUAGUAUAUAGGCUAUAGCCUUCAAGGCAAGCUAUACCAUUAUCUUUACCUCUAGGCUCCGUAGGAGUGGUUAUAUCAUCUUCAAACAAGACAUUAUACCUAAAGAGUGCAUUAUCCAACUCACGGGUAGAUUUGGAACUAGCAAGUUCCGCACUAUCUGAAAGGUCAAUAUCGAGUUUCAAGGAGGUUUCAAGAACAAAAUUACCCCAAGAAGAGCUCUCGGGUUCACUCCGAUUUCCUUGACCAACAUUUUCAAAGUCUUCACUUACUUGAUAUUUAUUAAUCUCAUCACACAUAACCUCAAGUGGUGAGCAAGUUUUACACACAAGUUGGUCAACACAAUUUUCACACGACAAUGUACUUUCAUUCAACACAAUAGCUUCAACACUAGGUGGACAUAAAUUGACCUUACAAGGAGAGUCAGUUCGGUCAUCUAUAGGAUCAACUAGUGUAUCCACUCGCACAAUAUGUUCAUUAUCCACAAAUAGUAAAGAAUCAAUAUACUCACAUGUAGGUAAGCUACUACUCACACUCAACGGCUUAUUAGCCACACGAUCAUCAUUCACAUGCACAAAAGUGUAAGAUUUAGCUAUUUUACCUUGAAGUUCAUUAGUAUGUUCGUUUUUACCUUGGUGUGAAGGUCCUUCAAGAACUUGGGCAGAAACUUCCUUCAGAAAGCUCUCAUCGCAAGUUGUUUGGAUAAGAGGAAUUGGAUUUUGAGGGAAAAGCUUAGGUAACAAUUGGCGUAUAAUUUCAAUGUGCCGUUUCAUAUCUUCAAGAUCGUCAUUGAUGCGAUCACAUGUGGCCUUGAAAUUAUGGGCAACCAUGGUACCUAACAAAAAAAAAGACAACAACAAACAAAAGAAAACAAACAAGAUUAGUAGUAAAAGCUCCUCACCAACACCCGUUGACACUCACUUUUGUGAUCCUCACAAUUGGAGUGGCAAGUAUUGAAAGUUGCUUAUACUCCGGUAGUCAAUAAGAUGUCAAUUCUACUUAGCGGCUGGAAUAGAUUCUUGUUUGAUCAACUCAAGAAACAAAACAUAAAAUUCUACUUACGAACUUGAAACAAAAAGUUACGACGAAUUAAAAAUGGGAAAAGCACACAAAUAGCGAAGACACGGCAAAAAUGGAUUCAAAAACUAAUUCACAAUCUAGUAGAUGAUUACUAGUUGCUAAUUAAUACUAGAAUCAAGAAAUGAAACUAACAAACCAAAGAAAAGAAACUUUAAUAUCUGAAAUUUGAGCUUUAAGGCUUUUUGGAACAUUGAUGAUGUGGAACUUAGAUGAUGUGGCAAUUUGGUGACAUGGCAGUUUGCAAUUUAGAUUGGUCAAAUUUUUAAUUUGGGAGAGUGAAAAGUCAGCUAAAGGAGGGAAAGAACAAGACUUAGAGCCUUUUUUCAAAAUUCAAAAGACUUUGACUUUCCUUGCACCUUUUUCGCAAGACACCUUUUUGAAAGCCUUUGUCUUCUUUCCUCUUUUGUUUGUCUUGGUAUGUUCCCUUAUUCCCUUUUGGUAAUGAGUCUUUUUGAAAGUCCUAUUGUCCCCUUAAUUCUUUUGUAUGUUAUCUGGGAUAUGUUUCAAGACUAAAAAAAGAUUACACUCUUUUCUCCACUCUUUAAAACCAAACCACACCUAUUGAAUGCUCUUGUUCAACAAUAAAUGAUGAACAUGUAGAACAAUAAGAACACUCAAAAGAUUAAAGCUAAACCAAAUGAACUCCAAAUUGAAUGAUUUUGGAUUCCUUUUGCUCACGUUAAACUCCAUAACACAACAACACAUUUUUCAAGCCGCAAUAUAACAAUAACCCUUCCAAUUUCGAGCUUCACCUUAUUAGUUUCUUCAACCUUAAACUCAACAAUGGUGAGCAACUCAAAACCACCUAGAUUAAGCUCAAAUCCAAGAUCUAGACUCACUUAGUGUUAGGGAACAAAAACCUAAUACUAGAAACAAACAAAACACACAAAAAUCUACUAAAUCUAAGUCUCAAAUUUUAGCUCAAACACAAAAAUGGUUCAAAUUUCUUUUUUUGAGAUUUUUGAUUUUUCAGCACUUUUUUUAAUUUUUCAACUAACAAGCCCAAGAUUGAUUUUAUUGAAACAAAAUCAAUCCUUUCUAUGAUACCAAAUGAUAUGGCAUAGGCAAGAUGACAUAAGAUCUUACGAAAUAAUAAGAAACAACACGUGUAUUGAACAAAAAGACCCUCAAAGCCGCAAUAAUAAAACACCAAUCUUAUUACAGUGACCGCUAAGGGAAUCAACUCACCUCAAGAACCACCGUUUCUACGCAAAUGUCAAUAUUGGCUUUUCCAAGCCCUAAACUAAAAUAGAUUUUCCAAGCUCUAACUAAGACUACAUAAGGUGUUCUAUUCUCAAAGAGAGGACUUUCAUUGUUUCAGUAUUUCAUCAUUCAUAAAACUAGUAAGAAAAGACCUAAAAAAACUAUAUAUAACCUAGCUUAUUACAUGUCAAAAUGACCAAGACACCCUCAAUGACCAAGGGGUGGCCUUGGUGUAUUGGAAAAUACUAUGAAUUGUCUAAAAUGCCCUUAAGGCUAAGUGGCCAAACUGCCCUUAAUGAAGGGAGCCAAAAUCGUGAACCAACAAAGUGUGGUCCAACCCAAGAGUCCUCAAGUCUUCAAGGGUUCAAGCAAUCUUCCACACUAGGGUUUGUCCAAUGGCAUGCUCAUAAAGACCCCUUCAAGCAUGAUCCCAUGCCCUCCAUACGACCAAAGCUUGAUUCUUCACGUAGUGACUUUGAAGGAUAUCAUUGAAAGCUAAGGCGACCAUUUGACUUGUAUCAGGAAUCAAAUAAUAACCAUCACAAAAACUUGAACAACCCACAACAUAAUAACAUGAUUCAUAAUUUUAAAUAGGGUUCUUGAGCUUUAUGGAUUAAAGGAAUCCUUAAAUCAACACAACACAUACCUUAGUUCGUGAUCCUACGAAGAUUGACGAAGAAAACUCUUGAAUUUGAAUCCCUCAAUUGGAACCCUAGCUUGUUCUUGAGAGGUUUUUAGGAAAAAAAGUAUAUUUUUCUUUAAUUGGGGCUAAAUCCUAUGUUUGGGAGCUUAUAUAUGGGUGGAAAAGGACCGUUUUCCCCUUAAAAUAACCCAAAAAAUAGAGUGUUUAUGUCACUUUGGCCAUAAGAUAUGCGGCGCUCACCUUAUCGCGUAAUCUAGAUUGUGUGGAGCACACCUUAUCACAUAUAUUAAGUUAUGCGUCGCACACCUUAUGGAAUAAGUUAGGUUGUGGGUCUCACACCUUAUGUUAGGCGACUCACUCCACUUUACAAAGCCAUAACUUCUUGCUCGGGUGUCGGAUUUUGGUAAAAUUCAUAUCGUUGGAAGGCUAAUGAGAUUCUCUACAAUUUGGUGGGUCUAAAACUGCCAAAAUACCAUAUAUAUAUAUAUAUCAAGUUAUUCUCAUUUAAAUAUGACCAUUGCUGAAUCAAACACUAAAACUUGAGGGAUUUAAAGGCUCUUAGCUUGCCUAACUCUAAGUGACUCUUAUGAACACGCUUAACACACCAUGAGCUCUCUUCUAACUAGGAUACUCAUUGUAAGUCAUGUACUCAACUAUGAGUCAUAGGAUAGGAGGUUUCAUACAUAGGAAUAAUGAUUUAUUUUGUAGCUUAGAAAUAUAUAGGGUAUUAUAAUAUCUCCCCCUUGGGAACAUUCAUCCUCGAAUGAGACUGAGUGAAAGGUGAGAGAUAAUAAAAUGAAGUACGCACAAGACAUACACUACUAAAACAUAAUUUCAUGACUGAUAGGAUAAACAUAUCAUACUAAACAUGCAUAUCUGAUGCAUGGGUAACUAAUUCAUAAAUGCAUGAUUGAGAUUUCUGAUAAACUGGAUUUCUCAUAAUGAGGAUGCAUAUCUGAUGCAUGACAGAUAAGCUAAAUUCAUGCUUAUCUAAUGCAUGAUUAUAUUAUUGAACUGAUACAUGAAUACAUGGCUAAAGAUGCAAUGGUACUUAGUACGAAGUUUUUAAUGGAAUUCUGAGCAUGAAACUAAAUACCAAGUUGGUAACGAAACUGAACAUAAUAACUGAUACCAAAUUUUUAACUCAAAUUUGGACACAAAACUAAAUAAACUUAAGGAAAGCUAUUACCUUGAGCUGAGUCUGAGUUAGCAGAAAAGAAAUGAGGAUACUUGGUCCAUAUGUUUGCUCCUGCUUCUCAAGUAGCUCCCUCAACGGACUUGCUCCGCCAAAGAACUUUGAAUUGAGGGACUUCUUUUUUCCUCAGUUUGUGAAUAUGAUAGUCUUAAAUUUCAACAAGAAUCUCUUUGAAAGAGAAGUUAUUCUGAAUAUAUAUGCCCUCUAUAGGGACUACAACUGAUGAGUCACCUAUGCAUUUAUCAAGUAAGAAGACAUAGAACACUGGACGAACUGAGGCUAGAUCUAAAGGCAAUUCGAGCUCAUAAGCUACUUUGCUGAAGCAUUUGAAAAUUUUGAAGGGACCGACAUAUCGGGGACUGAGUUUUCCCUUCUUGCCAUCUCUCUUUACUCCCUUCAUGGGAGAGAUCUCUACAUAUACAUAGUCACUAAUCUCAAACUCGAGAUCCUUUAUUGAACAUGUAUGAAUAGGAACAAGAGAACAUAGCUGAGUCUGAAAUGUGAUAUAUGAAUUGAAUACUGUGAACUGAAUAUUGUGAACUGAAUCGAGCCCCUAAAUACAUGGCUCACGGCUGAGAUUAAAGCUUGAGGUUCAACUUAUGAGUACCCCCUACUCCAAACUGGAUUCAUUACAUAAAGAAAUAAUAGGAUGUUUAUGUCAUGAAAGUUUGGGGGUUCAUAGUGUAUCUCCCCCUUGGGAUGCUAUAUCCCUUGAAGAAUGCUGAAUUGGCGGAGAUAUUGAGAAAAACUAGGGCGAUGCACAAGGAAACUACAAACUGAAUCAUGAUUGAUUAUCUAAGAUCUGAAACUGAGUCAUGAUACAUGGACUGAGCUGAGCUUGAUUCUAUGUAGUUGGUUCAUAUGAAAAUAGUUACAUUCAUGAGACUUCGGAUAGUACGUCUGGAUAGAAGGGACGGGAACCCAAGCCAUGCGUACUUGUCCAUCUGACUGCUAAACUGAAUUACUGGCUUUACGAAUUAACUCAUGCUAAAAACUUAAAAUCGACAGGAUCCUUUCUUUAAAACUCUUUCUAUAGAGUUCUAGUGGCUUUAGGGUGCAAGAAAACCUUGGUGUGAUAUGAUUAAGAUAGUUGAAUAAGAAAAUCAUCACUUGGCUAAAUUUUGGUAAGAUGAGUUGAGGUCGAUGAACAUGAUUUAAGAUAAGGUGACUAACCCUCCUGUACUACCAUUGAGACUACUUAAAAGAUUUAUGUGGGUGCUGAGCAUGAGUGCAUAAAUAUUUUAACUUAUCUAAUUAACUGGAUAACUGAUAGCUGAAUACUAGGUAUGUAAGACUGAACUAUACUUAGUCUGAAUAGCAGGACUGAGGUUGUAGAAUAUUAUGCAUAGGAAGUAAGAACUAACUGAGUUACAUAAGGUAACUUGAGUAUGGAUUCAUGAGGUCUGUAUUAUUUGUGAAUGCGGGGCCAAGUGUACGACAUAAUUUGGAAAUAUUCAAUAAACUGAGGUACUAAAAUACUAAUAACUGAGUAACUGACAAUAGUACGCUAGGGUCAAGAAAGUAUGAAACUGAACUGAGUUUCUGAUCUGAUUACUGAACUGAAGCUGACAUUAUAACUAAGGCUAUAACUAGGACUCAUAAUAGAACUAAAUGCUGGGUCCUGAUAACUGAAUGCUAAUAACUGAUGUUUAGACUGAUACUGAAGUACUUAGUUCUGAGACUGAACACUGAUCACUAAGUACUGAAUACUGAAACUGUAACGUAGAUGGCAACUGAGUUUUGAUAGUUACAUAAUGAGGACUGACAUAAGUCAAGGAAAUAAAGCUACACUCACACUCUGUACUUUCCCAACUUCUAAAUACUACUUCUUGCUAGCCAUUUACUUUUACACUAACAUGAUACUCAUGCCUAUCUUCAUAACUACACCCUUAUGUACAAUAAGUAUGCAACAAUCUUAUGUUAACAUGUAAUAUAUACUCUCUCCCAUCUAUGCAACUGUUAAUCACUACACAAUUUUCACAAAGAGAGCUCACUAAAGGGUUGAAUCAGGAGGACCUAAAGUAUAAAUGGACACUAACAGAACUUUGACACUUGACUGAAGCCUGAGGAAUAGAAUAUAAACAUCAUGGAUUCACUAAGAGGUCUAAACUGAGGAUAUGCAUAACAUAGUCUAAAUUUAACUGAUCAGUAGGGGUGUAGCAGGAGUCACAAAAGCUGAGUAUACUAUAGAGCAUGAUAUGUGUACAUGAGUCAUGAGCUGCAUGACCUGAGUUUGGAGUUUUCUAUAUUCAUAGGACAUGAUUUGUAUUACUGAGGGGAAUAUAACUAAACUCCUUAUGCUGGAAACUGGAAUCGUACACGAUUCUAUAAAAAGUGUGCGAAUUUAAGCUAGGUUCAUGGAACUGAGAUGUGAAGCAUGCAUAGGCAUCAUGCUGACUGGAGUACGAAACUUUACACUAAGAUAAGAAUGGGUCUGGAAUCAUUUUCCCCUUACUGCCUUUCUAUACGUACUGACACUACUACUGGAAGUUGAGGGCCUGACUUGGUCACUUGGUCUAUCAUCUCCCUCUUAGCUUUGAACCAUCAUUAUAAGUCUGUGAAUACUUUACUAAACUCUGAACUGAACUACAAUCAUCAUUACAUACUUAUACUCUAUUUGACACAUGGUUGCCUUACUAAACACACCAUCUACUUUUGUUUCUUCAUAGAAUACUAAUAUCAUAUCUCUUAACUCACAUCCCCACCUUUAUACUUAGUAUCAAAUCAAGAAACUUAAAUUCUUGCUAGCACUAUUCAAGCCUACUGAUUUACUUUGGUAAAACUAUCCUCAUGAAUGCAUAAUCUAUUCAAUAUGGAUAAUAUUAUCCCAACUCUACUACUACUAAACUCCUGGGUUUAUGCAUUUAACUCUAGGUCAUAUGCUAUCAUAGGAUUCUGAGAAGGGGUCUGAUUACAUAUCUAGAUUUGAGUUCGUGGAUAAGUUCUCAUGAUCAUGAAUGAAAUCUAUACAACUUUGAAACAUAAUGGAACUAAUGAGAUACUUUUAAGCCUGUGGACAAUCCCAUAACUCUCCGCAGGGACUGUCUGAGAAAAUCCUAUCUCUAGGACUUUGAGCUUCACUAUUUUUGUUACCUUGAAAGUAAGUUGGAGUUUACAUAAGUAAAGCAUGAUGAGAAUCUUCAUGAUUUUCAUAAAGAACCUUUCUACAGCAUGAUCUGAAACAUGGAAGAAGGGAAACUAUUCCUAAAAGAUCUCAUAGCCUCCUGCAUAUAAGUGUGGUUCACAAUACACCUAUUUGCAAGACUCUACUAGAUGCAUCUUUCAGAAUUCCUAGGAAAAUAUUGAAUCUUAGGCUUUGAUACCAAGUUUGUAAUGCCCCGAAUCUGGUACUUGGAAUGCUACACGAUGUCCAUGACCCUGAAGGACCACAAGCUAACUCGUAAUUGAUAUCUGGACCUGUAUACUGCAUAAUAUAUGUAUAUAAAUGUGGAAAUAAAUAAUGAUAAGCCAUAAGGUUCAAUGCUAUAACAUAAUUGAUAAAAACAUAACAUCUGAAUGGGGUAUGGAAUACCCAAAACAACUGAAAUAAACUGUCUAUACAUAAUAGUCUGAAAAGCUUCUAACUAUCUGAUAAGGAGUAGAUGAGACAUGUCCCCAACUAACUUUGUCUACUGAAAUAAACUGAGUAUAAAAAUAAUAAAAUUCUAAUCAUUUCAUCGAAGAAUAAGGACUCACUACUAGCUCUGACUACUGAUGCGGGAAUACUACUGGUGCUCUGGAGCUCGUGCCUCGAAACCUAUGGCGUAAAGUAAAAUACCAUAACUCAAAUACGUUAGUACGAUGAAAUGUACUGGUAUGCAUGUGAGGUAGGCUAAUGUAAAGGUUUCACAUGUAUGAACUAUUCUAACUGACUGAAUAAUAUAAAUGUGAGAAUACGUGUAUGAAUAAAAGACUAUAACUGAAUUCGUGAUAAUAUGAUUACUGAGUCUGAAUACUGAUAACAUGGAAAUUCUGAUAACUAAUGUAACUGAUAUAACUGAUAUUCUGAGCGACUGUUUCUAACAGUCUAGUUUCUUAUAAAGCUAUCUGAGUGCCGUACUAUUCUGAGUUGACUAUGUCUGACAUUCCUAAAAUCUAAAAAACUAUCUAAGUUCUUUUACUGAAAUUGUAUGACUGUAUCAGAUAGUCCUAAUUCUGUAACUAAAAUUGUGGUAAGUAGUAUCUAACCAACAUGCCCUAAAAUGCACCAUAAUAGCUGAUCUGAGGUCCAAUUUGUGCCCUGAUUAGAAGGGUGUCAAUACCGUGCCAUUGGUAAAGACAAGCUGUGAGUGACCCUUAUAUAAUAGGUAACACUAACAAUAACGGUGGGAACCCUCGUAUAACAGGUUAAGCCACCUCAUCUACCCACAUAUAACAGGCUAUGAUGUCUCAACCUACACUGCUUAUGUAGUUCAAGAACACAAGGAUUGCUUCUAAGAAUCACACCCUCAUAUAAUAGGUGCAUUCCCAUCCUUGGGUUUGCUCGGUGCUAAUUACUACUCCCAUCUGAAUAGACACUGAACAUGAUUAACUGAAUAGGACUAGACUAAAUUUAUAGAGUUCCAUUGACUGACGAAAUACUACUGGCAUUACUGAAUUUCUGAGCUAUCCUAAGUCACAUGACUGACUGAGUUCUAUAUAUCAUGGCUUGACUGAGGAUAUCGUGAAAACAUGACACUAUCUCUAGGCACACAACUAUGUUUUUCGAGUACAAGUACCCCCAAGAUUCAAUAGAAGGAAACUGACAAAGCAUGACUUUUUUGAAUACAUGGACAACAACAACAAUCCAUAAUACAAUAAGUUAGGGAUUUCAUGAAGUACAUGGUUAUCAUAAUCUUGUACAUGAAUGGGAAUACAUAUCAACAUAUCAGCAUUUCAUCAACUAGUACCAUAAGUAAUCCUUCAAACAUCCAUAAUGUAUAACAAUAUCAUAGAAGUCAUUUUGAUAAUAAAGGUAAAGCAUGUAUUUGUCAAUUUGAUCACAGUUUAGCUAUAAGGCAUAAUUUAUAUCCCUUUAAGUAUUUUAUCAAACACCUUACAUGAACAACUUAAGGCAUCAGUGAAAUCAUCAAAUUUCACAAAUCAUAAACCACCAAAUUCAUGAAUUUCAAUUUAUAUGCUAUCGUAGUUUCAUAAUUUCACAUAAAGAUCCCAACUUGGGAAUCAAACAACAACCAUCACAUAAACUUGAAUAACCCAUAACAUAAUAACAUGAUUCAUAAUUUAAAAUAGGGUUCUUGAGCUUUAUGGAUGAAAGGAAUCCAUAAAUCAACACAACACAUACCUUAGUUCGUGAUCCUACGAUGAUUGAUGGAGAACCUUCUUGAAUUUAAAUCCCCCAAUUGGAACCCUAGAUUUUUCUUGAGAGGUUUUUGGAAAAAAUAAGUAUAUUAUUCUUCAAUCGGGGCUAAAUCCCAUGUUUGGGAGCUUAUGUAUGGGUGAAAAAGGACCGUUUUCCCCUUAAAACAACCCAAAAAUGAAGUGUUUACGUCACUUGGGCCAUAAGAUAUACAGCGCACACCUUAUCUUGUAAUCUAGGUUGUGCGGCGCACACCUUAUCGCAUAUAUUAGGUUUUGUAUUGCACAUCUUAUGGCAUAAGUUAGGUUGUGCGUCGCACACCUUAUGUUAGGCGACACACUCCACUUUGUAGAGCCAUAACUUCUUGCUCGGGUGUCGGAUUUUGGUAAACUUAGUAUCAUUGGAAAGCUAAUUCAAUUAUCUAUAAUUUGGUGGGUAUUAAAAUUCCAAAAUACUAUAUAUACAUCAAGUUAUGCUCAUUCAAAGAUGACCUUUGCGGAAUCAAACACUAAAACUUGAGGGAUUCAAAGGCUCUUAGCUUGCCUUACUCUAAGUGACUCUUAUGAACAUGCUUAACACAUUAUAAGUUCUCUUAUCACUAGGAUACUCAUUGUAAGUCAUGUACUCAAAUAUGAGUCACAGUAUAGGAGGUUUCAUAUGUAGGAACAAUGCUCUAUUUUCUAACUUAGAAAUAUAUGGGGUAUUACACAUGGUAGGUUAUGUGUUCCCAACAUCGAUGGAUUGAGAGAAAGGGUUAUGGACAAGGCUCACGGAUCUCGUUAUGCUAUUCAUCCCAAUUUUAUCUAGAUGUAUCAUGAUAUUAGAGAGUUUUAUUGGUGAAGCAAUAUGAAAUGUGAUCUGGCUAGCUAUGUGGACAAGUGUUUAGUGUUUCAACAAGUGAAAGUUGAGCACAUGAGGCCCGGUAGGUUGUACCAUGAAAUUAUGUUGCCCGAAUUGAAAUGGGAGGAAAUUAAUAUGGAUUUCAUUAUUUAUCUUCCUAGAUCUCAGAAUUAAUAUGAUUUUAUUUGGGUCAUUAUUUAUAGAAUGACCAAGUCCACUCACUUUUUACCCGUAAGGACAAAUUACUUGAUGGAAGAUUUUACUAAGUUAUAUCUUGCAGAGAUUGUGAAGUUGGAUGGUGCUCUGAUUUCUAUUAUCUCGGAUCGUGGUCCUCAAUUUUUAUCCCACUUUUGAAAGUUAUUCCAAAAGAGUUUAGGUACUAGAGUAUGCCUUAGUAUCGCUUUUCACCUGCAAAUAAAUGGAAAAUGGAAAGGACCAUCUAAAUAUUGAAGGAUAUGUUUCAAGCUUAUGUGAUUCAUUAUGGUGGUGGUUGGUAUGACCACUUGCCUUUGAUUGAGUUUGCCUAUAAUAAUAGUUGCCACUCUAAUAUUGGUAUGGCCCCUUUGAGGUACUGUAUGGUAGGAGAUAUUGAUCUCCUAUUGGGUGGUACGAAGUUGGCGAGGUUAAGUUACUUGGACCCAAUUUAGUUCACCAAACCUUAGAGAAGAUGAAGGUUAUUCGUGAUAGGUUGAAAACUGCUCAAAGUUGCCAAAAUUCCUAUAUGGAUGUGAGGCGUAGGGACCUAGAGUUUAGUGUUGGCGAUUGGGUAUUCUUGAAGGUGUCUCCCACAAAGGGAGUAAUGUGAUUUGGUAAUAAGGGGAAUCCUAGACCCUGAAUGUUUUCCCCUACUUAAUUAUGAAAUAGGUUGGCAAUGUUGCCUAUGAGUUGGAGUUUCCUUCUAGUAUGAACUCCAUUCACCCAAUUUUACAUGUCUUUAUAUUGCGGAAUGUAUGAGUGAUCCUUCGUUGUUUAUUCCCAUAAGGGAUGUUAAUAUCUCAGACUCUUUGUCCUAUAAAGACACUCGGUGAGGAUCUUAGAUUGUCAAGUUUUCCAAUUGCAAAUGUAAGAGGUGGGUUCAGUGAAGGUUCUAUGGAGGAAUCAAAAAUCCAAGGAAGCUACUUGGAAAGUGGAAGAGGACAUAAAGUCCAAGUACCCACAUUUGUUUUCUAUUUUGGAAACUUGGGAUAGAGGUAUGUGUUGAUCUCCUUGCUUUGAUUUUUGUAUUUGAUGGACAAUAGGUUAAAGUACCCAAUGUGUUAAGUUGAUUUGUGUCUUGUUAGACCAUGGGUUCAAGACCCUAAUGCUUUAAAACUAUAUGUGUCCUUGUUGUGAUGGGUUUAAGCCCCUAGUACCUUGAGUUGACUCAUGUCUUUGGUAAAAUGAUGGGUUUAAGUCCCUAAUCCUUGAAUUGAGCAUGUAUUCUGAUAAGUCGACGAGUUGAAGUCCCUAAUUUGUGAAAUGAGUAAGUUUUGAUAAGCAAGGGUUUAAGUCCCUAAGCUUUGCAAUGACAAGUGUUUUGAUAUAAUGGGUUUGAGUCCCAAAGACGAUGACAUGAAUGAUUGAUUGAUAACUAGCACGAUGUGUGUUAUAUCCUUGUUGUAUGCUUGUUCUAACUUGUUUGAAGGUUCUUUUGAUAUGUGAUAAUGGGUUAAAUUGUGUUUAUUUCUUUCCCUCCCCAUUAUUCGCAUAUGAAUGAUCUAAGUGGGGGUGAAUUGAAACACUUAGACUUUGAACCAUUGAAAGAAACUCUCCAUUUGAUGUAACUGGGGUGGGUACGACUAGGGGCACGAGUUGUACCCCUUGGAAAUGAGUUGCAUCCUCCUUAUUAUCUCCUCUAAUAUCCUUGGAAUUGUAGUGAGGGUUACUCACUAUAAUAGGUAUGAGUGACCCACUCCUCAAUCAUACCCUAAGUAUACGAGUUGUACCCAACAUGAUUGUAUAGAGAAAAGUCCUAGCUUGAGUGGAUUGUUUUGGGUACGGGUGGUGUAUACAAGUUAGGGGUCGAGUCGUUCCGUUUGGAUAUGACUCAAAGGCAUGUGAUAGUACUCUUAAUAGUGUAGGUGACCUAGAAGAAGCCUAGGGUAUGUGUCAGGGUACUACUCAUACCCUAGGGUACAAUUCGUAAAGUAAGUUGUACCCUGCAUGGGUUCAUUUUACAACUUUUAACGAAGGGCCUUGAGGUUAUUUCCGAUGCCUUAAACCCUAAGUCCCUUCACUAUAUAAGUGUAUAAGGCUUCGUUAAACACACUUUUGAGUGGAUCAAACAUCCAAAAAACUCUCUUAAACUCAUCUUUGAAUAAUUGGAGGUUAGGGUUUCAAGGGCGAUCUUCAAGAGGCAAAGUAAAGUCAAGACUCUUGGUGAAUCAAGUUGUCAAAGGCAUGUAACUCUUCCCCUUGUUAAAUAACUCUAAACCCAUGUAUUUCACACUUGGAUUAGUAAGUGUAGAUGGUGAUUUUGAAAUAAAUGAAAAAGGUUUUGUUGCCAAAUGAUGAAUAAUGUUGAUUCUUGCUUGGUCUUAUGUUUAUGCAUGUCAUUGAUAGUGAUUUGCAUAUGUAGGUGCUUGUUGUAUGUGGUUUAACAUGAGGGUCUUGAGUAACCCUAAUAUUUAUGAUUUCUACCCUGAAAAUAGCCUUAUUAAAGGUAUGCACAUAAGGUGUUUGCGGAAAUGUCUAAGUGAAUUGUCUAGUCACAUGUUGAUGAUAUUUUGAACUAGGGAAAUGGCCCAAUGACAGUGCCCAAGCGCACACGCAAGUGUACGUGGUCUACCAAGUAGUAAAGUGGCAUUCAGGAAGCCAAGUAUCGAUUCCACAGGGACUUGAUCUAACAACUAUUCAUUUCGAGUUUAACUUUUAAGAUUAAUUCUAUGCAAGUGUAACCAAAUAGAGUGUGGACUAUUGUAAAUUACAGGUAAAGUAAACAAUGCAUCAAAUAAAGGUCUUGAGACAAUCAAUGGAGUAAAACCCAGGGUUAAAGCACUUUGAAGAAUCAUAAUAUGUUAUUGAACUUCAUUCGCUAAUUUUCUUAUCUUGGUUGUUGAUUUGUAGGGUUAAUUGUAUUCUCAUGGUCUCCCAAUCUCUAAUCGUUUACCUAAUCUGGGCCGUACAACUACAUUGUUGAGCGGGGAUGUAAUAAUCCAAUUAUGUUCUUUAAGCUACCAUUCUACAUUUUAAUAAAGUAAGGCAUCUAAGUACAUUCCUAUCCUAGACGCUAAUUUGAAUUCCUUAUUUCAUAAAAGAAUAAAAACCAUUCUUUGUUUAUCUCCAUGUUCUAUCUACCUAUUUCCUCUCCCCGAGAUCAAAAGGUAGACAAUUGAUAUAUUUUCCGGUUGAUCAAUCCAUCAAAUAGUUAAUUAAAAGAUGAACACACAACCAAUAAUGAUAAGUAAAAUUAAACGAACUUAAUUCAAAACUAUAUUACUCAUGUUCUUGGCUUUAACCUCGGAAAGAGGGCGUUUACCCACGCAUAGUCAUAAUCAUAAUCACAAGAUUGUAAUUAACAACUAAGAACAUGAACGAAAUAAAUCAAAAUAAUAAAAACCUAAAAUUUGAAGUUGUAGCUGCCUCUUAAUCAUCCAAGAUAUCCAAAGUUGUUUAAAAACGUGUAAAAUGAUGUAUUUAUAGAACAAGAGCAGGCCAAAGCCAUGUAGGAGUAGGAUCCGACCAAGAAUUGAGCAGUGGAGUAGAGGGGGCAUCGCCUGUUCUAGAGCCCCGUGGUAGAUGAGGCUGAGCCUACUGUAGAGAACUGAUCUUUGUAGGGCGUCGCCUGCUGUAGAGAACCACUCCAGUUAGGGCACCGUGGGCCUAUCGCCUUAUCACAUUGGAAGUUGCUUCCAUGAUUUUGGUUAAGUGUUGAUCGUCCCACCUUUUGUCCCUUGUAUUGUGGUGUAUUUUCCAUGGAAUUAAAGCCUUUAUAUCAUUAAUAUAUCACCAUAUUCAGCUCACAAAGCUUCCUACAUAAUCAAAAACCACAAAUUAGAAAUAAUAACAACACAAUAUCCAUGACGAUGAAUCAAAACAAGAGCUAAGACUAGGCUAGUUCAUGUUAAUCUUCAACUUAUUGUUCCACCUCUACACUUAAUCAAAUUGAAAUUUGCACAUUAUAAACAAGUUAUUCCAAUAAUAAUUACAAAUUUAAAUCAUUUGAAACUCCUUUAAACACAAUAGAAUCAAACGAAACCAACUAGACAAGCAACUAGCUCAAGCUAGUAACGCUAGUUUCCACGAUUGAACUCUAACUGACUCAUUUAGGUAAAAACUUGUUUAGAAUUCACUUUGAACAUUGUUAUAAUGUACUUUGACUCUUAGAUGCACAUUUAUGUCAUUAUCAACCCAUAUAGUAUACAAAUCAUCCUCAAAACAAGGCUAAAAAGACUAGAAUUGUGACAAUAGAUUGCAUAAAUACACCCAACAUAAACACCCCACACUUAAAGCCUUGUUCGUCCUUGAACAAUUCUUAACUAAAUGUAUCAUGAAAUAAGGAAACUCUACACUUAUAAUACAUGCAAGACACUUGAGCUAGUACUACAAUGACUACACAUAAUGCAAGUUUCUCCACUAAGCAUGUUAUAACACCAUUGAAAGCUCAUGAACACUACUCCAAAAUGCCCUAAUCUCAAGAAUUGACUCACCAAAGUGGCAAACUCAUGCAUAUUGUUCAAUUAAGGACAUCAUACAAAUCACCCACAUUCAUCAAACAUGUGCCCCUCACAACAAGAGAGUUACCCAUAAUCACUCACAAUAAUGCAAUUUAUCACAAUGGGUACAAAAAUCAAAUUACGCUUACUCUCACAAGGAAUUCACAAGUUACACAUAAUGAACCAUAGGAUUUCCCUUAGUGUAGUACUCCACUAAUAUCAGAAUGAUGAACUUAGGAUCAAUUAGGUCUUUUCCAGGUUGUAAUGUAGGCUAAGGGAUGAGUAGGAACUAUUUUGAAAAAGAACAGUGACUAUCUUCCCUAAGCGCUUUAAUACAUCACUUUUUACAAUUAAAACCACUCUCCAACAACCAAAUUACACCAUUUUGUCUACCCCAUUAUUUUGUUUUUUACCCUAUCUUAUUAAGCUCAUUAUCAACACUAUGAUGGGAGUAUUUUAUGUGCUACUCAUUCAAUUUGAAUUUUUUUAAUUCUUUUCAUUACUCAACUCCCCACCACAGUACAUUACAAUUCUUGUUGAACACCAAUAACUAUCACUUUAGGAGCUUUAGUUACACCUUUUUCUUCUUCAAUUUCAUACUCCUAACUCAAUUGAUUUUUAAUUAAAGCUCUUAGGAGCUUUGGAUCAAAUGGUCUAUCAAAAAAGGGUAUUAGGCUACACAGGAGGUUGCCAAAGAAAAAAUCUCAAGGCUCAACGGGGAUUACUAGGAUUAUGCACAAUGAUAGGUAAAAAUAAGGUAUAAAACAAGGCUAUCAAAGAAAUGCCUAUAUCAUCUCCUAAACCCACACUCUUUAUUUUGCUUUACACACAUACCGGGAAAGUUCUAGACAUUACAUGCAACAAGAAAUAUACAAAUACCUCACACGCAUAUGGAACAUGCUCAACUUAAUAGGAUCAUCAUAGACUCUUAACCAAACAAUACCAUGAGUUCAAAUUUAAGUCCAAAAGUACAAGAGUCACAAACUUAAGCUUAAGAGUCUCGCAAGUAGUAAUUCACUCAUUUAACAUGCUUUUACCAAAUAAAACACUUGCACCAUGAAAUCAAAAAUAGCACCAACAAGAAUAUCUUACAUAAUUUUUUUUUAAAAUUAAGCCAAAAAUUGGGAAUUUUUUCCACCCCACACUUAAAAAUCUACUUUUUCUCCAAAGUGAACUUAAAAGUAAUAGAUUAAAAUACUCUCUAAGGCCUUUAGACCUAGCUAGUAGCAUCUUUCUAUCAAAGAGGUUCUUGGGACCCCACACUCAGUCUUUAUCAUGCUCCUUAGCUCAGGUUUCCGAUACUCAGACUUUCCAUCAAUCUGCGACUCAACAAAACAAAAACUACGUAAAAUAAAAACUAAAAACUAAAAAGAAAACAUACCUACUUAACUUGGGUUGCCUCCCAAGCAGUGCCUAAUUUAGUGUCGUGGCACGACCCAACUUAACGACUUAGUCAUUCUUUUUUUUCUCUUUCUCACACUUAGUCUCCAUCUUCUUAUUCUUUUCACCCCUCUUGGGUGUGACUUCUCAAGGGUAACAGAUUUUUCAACAACAUUAGCCUUUUAAGGUCUAUCAAUUUACAUCAUGUUAGGUUGUAGUAUUAGAGACUUUGGUUGCUCAAUGAGGGUGUCCGAAGAGGUUUUUUGUAGACUAACCAUCCCACACUUAUCCCCUUUAAUAACAAAAAUCAUGCACAAGUAUUUAUAGUGGGACAGUGUGUUAAGCAGCUUAUAAACUUUAAAUACCUCCUCUUUAUCCUCCAACCUUAUUUUGAGCGUACCCUCUCUUACAUCAAUCAACACUCCUUCCAUUGCUAAGAAUGAACUCCCCAAGAUGAUCGGUAUCUGUUUAUCUGCCUAAAAAUCUAGAACAAUAAAGUUAGCAGGAAUAACAAAUUUGCCAACCUUCAUGAUGAUAUCCUCAAUAAUUUCUUUCAAGCGAGCUAUGGUCCCGUUUGGAAACUGCAAUAGUACAGAGCGCGGUCUAGGUUUCCCCAAACCUAAUUUGUUGAACAAAGAUAGGGGCAUCAAGUUGAUACUUUCCCCUAAAUAACUAAAUGCACGCACCACCUCGCUAUUGCCAAUCUGAAUAGUGAGAGUAAACUUCCCUAGGUCCUUAAGCUUUUUCAGCAUCUUUUAAGUAACCACAAAACUACACGCCUCAGUGAGUGCUAUAGCUUCUACAUCCUGCAAUUUUACCUUAUUAGCAACCACAUCCCUUAAGUACUUAGCAUACUUGGGUAUACCCUGCAAAAAAUCUAACAAAGGUAAGUUAUGUGAAGCUCUCUGAACGUGUCAAAUAGCUUCUUAAACAUUGCUUCCUCCUUUAAUUUUGUUUGCCUUUGAGGGAAAGGAAGUGGCGGCAUCUACUUCUUCUCUUAUGCAAUAAUUUUUUCUUUCGAGUACUUAGACUUUAUCAAUUUUUCAGCAACUCUACCAUUUACCUGUAGGGUCACUACAUCAUCAUCUACCUUCUUUGUUUCUUUGGGAAGAUCUCCAUGAAGCUUUUUACCACUCCUCAAAGUGAUUGCUAUAACUUGUUUUGGAUUUUCUAUAUCUGUUGGCAAACCACCUUGAGGCCUGGUAUUCAGUGCCUGUUGUAACUUCCCUAAUUGCAACUCUAAGAUUCUUGUAGCUGCUAGCUGAUUCUUUAUUUCUGUCUUUUGACUUUUCAUGUCUGCAUAAAUUUGUACUUGACCAGCUAAGAGUUAUUUUAUCAUCUCCUCCACGUUGCUAGUUGACUGAUUUGGGGGGGCCUUCUAUUGUGGGGCAUUCCAUGUAUGAUUUGGUGAUGAGAAAGCCACUUCAUGUUGUAGGUGCUACCAUAAUUAAGCCUUUGAGCAUUGCCCACAUACAUUACCGACUUAGUAUUGGCCGCACACAUGGCCACAGAAUGACCACUAUUUCCACAAACUUCACACCAACUUGUAUCUUAUUGAAUUGCACUGAUUGUGACUGCAUAUUGUGCUACUCUCAAUUUUAGGCUACUGAACUGAUCGUUUAUCAUGUUUUGCAAUACUGCAACCUAAGCUGAUAAAGCAGUGUAUUGGUUUACCUCCAAAAAACCUGCAACUUUCUUUGUGGCACUCCUAGAAUCACCAUGCCAUUCUGGAUUUCAUUAUACAAUGCGGUUCAAUAAAGUGUAUAACUCAUCAUAAGUCAUCUUAAGAUCUUGACCACCUGCAGCUGAAGCUAACAAAAUUUUCAUAUUAUGGUCAAGAGCCUCUACAAAAGUAUGAGUAAGUACCUUGUUGGACUAGAUGGUGUGGAAAGUCCCAAAGAAGUGCCUUAAAGUGAUCUCAAGCAUGAUAAAGAUUUUUGUCUGGCUUCUAUUUGAAGCACACUAUCCUACUGUAAAGUCUCACAGUCUUAUCAGACGGGAAAAACCUAAUAAGGAAUUUUUUGGCCAUGUCAUCCCAUGAUGUGAUUUAAUUUUCCAAUUUUGCAUUCAACCACUUUAUUGAUUCCCCAAUCAGUGAAAAGAGGAACAAUAUCAUCCUCGCAUAGUUUGCAUUCACACCCGUAGGAAUGAAUAUGUCACUGAUUUCUAAAAACUUUUGCAAGUGGAUUUGUGGAUCUUCAUGUGAGAGCCCUGUGAAUUGUCCACGGCUAAUCAAAAGUUGUACCAUAUUCUGUUUAAGCUUAAAAUUGCCUCCAACUUCCGACUUCUGAAAUGAGGAGGUCAAUUGGUGGAAAGUGGGAUUUCCACUUCUCUGACUGUCCUAUGGGUUGCUUAUUCAUCAGCCAUGAUGGUGAGAUUCUCUUAGUCUUCUAUGAUUUGAGAAAUACUGGGAGAAGGAUUUCUUCUCUCUUUUAUUGAUGGAAAAGUUGCUCAGGUUCAGAGCUUAGUUCAACCAAGUCCCGAUCCCUUGCCAUCUUACUACUUUGGAAACCUAUUUCCUGCAAAUACAAAGCCAAGCCCAAGCAUAAAAACAAGAUAGGGACUUUCUCUAACAACUAUUCAAUUUGAGUUUAAAUUUUAAGAUUAAUUUGAUACAAGCAUAACCAAAUAGAGUUUCGAAUAUUGUAAAUUGCAGGUAAAGUAAACAAUGCGUCAAAUAAAGGUCUUGAGACAAUCAAUGGAGUAAAUCCCCGGGUUAAAGUACUUUGAACAAUCAUACUAUGUUACUGAACGUCAUUCGUUAACUUUCUUAUCUUGGUUAUUGAUUCGUAGGGUUAAUUACAUGAUCAUGGCCUCCCGACCUCUAAUCAUUUACCUAAUUUAAACCUUACAACUACAUCAUUAAGCCGGGAUAUAAUAAUCUAAUUAAGUUCUUUAAGUUAUCAUCCUAUGUUUGAUUCAAGUAAGGCAUCUAAGUACAUCCCUUUCCUAGAUGAUAAUUUAAAUUAUUUAUUUCAUAAAAGAAUACAAACCCUACUUUGUUCAUCUUCAUACUCUAUCUACCUAUUUCUUCUCUCGAGAUCAAAAGGUACACAAUUGAUAUAUUUUUUGGGUGAUCUAUCCAUCAAAUAGUUAAUUAAAAGAUGCACACACAAUCAAUAAUGAUAAGCAAAAUUAAACAAACUUAAUUCAAAAUAAUAGUACUCAUGUUCUUAGAUUUAACCUCAGAAAGAGGGCGUUUAGCCAUGCAUAGUCAUAAUCGUAAUCACAAGGUUGUAAUUAACAAAUAAGAACAUGAACGAACUAAAUUAAAAUAAUAAAAACCUAAAAUUUGAAUUUGUAGCAGACCCUUAAUCCUCCAAGAAAUUCAAAUAUGUUUAAAAAUGUGUACAAUGAUGUAUUUAUAACACAAGAGUGAGCCAAAGCCGUGUAGGAGUAGGAUCCGACCAAGAAUUGAGCAGUGGAGUGAAGGAGUCAUCGCCUGCUCUAGAGCUCUGAUCCAGAUGGGGCUGAGCCUGUUGUAGAGCACCAAUCCAGGUAGGGCGUUGCCUUCUAUACAAAAUCACUCCAUUUAAGGUGCCACAGGCUCAUAAACUCAUCAUACUGGAAGUUUCUUUCGUAAUUUUGGUUAAAUGUUGAUCGUCCCACCUUUUGUCCCUUGUAUUGUGGUAUAUUUACCAUGUAUUUACGGACAUUAUAUCAACAAUAUAUCACCAUAUUCAUCUCACAAAUCUUCAUACAUAAUCACACACCACAAAUUAUAAACAACACAAUUUCUAUGACGAUGAAUCAAAACAAGAGCUAAGACUAGGUUAGUUCAUGUUAAUCUUCAACUUAUUGUUCCACCUCUACACUAAUCAAAUUGAACUUUGCACAUUAAAAACAAGUUAUUCCACUCCUAAUUACACUUUUAAACUAUUUGAAAAUCCUUUAAACACAAUAGAAUCAAACAAAACCAGUUAGACAAGCAACUAGCUCAAGCUAGUAACGCUAGUUUCCAUGAUUGAACUCUAAAUGACUCAGUUAGGUAUAAACUUGUUUAAAAUUCACUUUGAAAAUUGUAAUAAUGUACUUUGACACUUAGAUGCAUAUUUAUAUCAUUAUCAACCCAUAUAGCAUACGAAUUUUCCUCAAAACAAGGCUAAAAAGACUAGAAUUGUGACACUAGAAGGCAUAAAUACACCCAACAUCACCCAAUAAGUAUGAAUGAUUGAUAAAUAGUGUGUUAAAAGUAUUGAGAGCUAUGUAUUAUAUAAUUUAUGACCAUUUUCGAUAAUUGACUAAUAAGGGGUUAAAGUCCCAAAAUAUGAUAAUGUAGUUGAAUUAUAUGUUAAACCAAGUAUGGUAAGAAUAUGGUAUAAGAUGGUUAAUGAAUUGUGAAUUGUUUGUGAGGGUCUUGAUGACCAUAAUAUGGGUCAUGUAAAGUGUUGAAUUAGUUAAACACUUAAAUUCCUUAAUUGUUGUAUGGAAUGAAUGUUGAUGCUUGGGCAAAGGGUUAAAGUCUAAAUUCUAACUAAUGCUAUUAACGUCCAAAUUCCAAAUAAUGGUAGUUGUGAUGGCUUGAGGUUGAAGUACCUUGCCUUAAGAAAUGGCUCAAGGUUGAAGUCCCUUGCAUUAUGAAAUGGCUUGAGGUUUGAGUCAUUUUUCUACUGAAAUUGCUUGAGGUAAAAGUCCCCUACAUAAAGAGAUCUCUUGAGGUUAAUAUACCUUGCUGAAUAAAAUGACUUACGGUUAGAGUCCCUUGUCUAAUAAAUGGGAAUGAGGUCGGAGUCCCUUGCCUAGAUGAAUAUGUGUGUGGUUAGAGUCCCUUAUUUGAAUAACCGUGUAUGCGGUUAAAGUCCUUGGCUAAUGAAUGUGUGAGCAUGGUUAAAGCCUUUUGUCUAAUGGUAUGUGAUUGUGGUUAAAGUCCUAUGCCUAAAUAGAAUUGUCAAAUCUAAGUGUGGAAGGUCGGAGUCCUCCAUUUUAUGUAUAAUGAUUGAACAUUCAUGAAUGUUACUAAGCCUUAAUUUCUUGGUUUGCAUGUGAUAUACCUAUAUGUAAGGAUAAAGUAUAUGAAUAUGAUUGAAUAUUAUAUAUUGGCAUGUUGUUGAAUAAUAAUGCUACUUUUUCCUUAUCCUUGAGUUAUAUGCUAUCCUUCCAAUCGCUAACCUUCUUCGGACGCUAUGUCCCCUCACGACACAGGGACCAGAGCAUCAUCUUAUCUUCCUGCACAGUGAAUUAGGUGAACAAAAUAGUUCUUUGUUAAAGCCUUUUGUCUAAUGGUAUGUGAUUGUGGUUAAAGUCCUUUGCCUAAAUUAUGAUUCUUUUUGUAUGUUUUGAGUAUAUUUGUAUAUGAUUUGUCUAAUUGAACAAACUGUAUUUGUAAAUUUGUAUUUUUUGAUAAUCUUUUUAGUGUGCUAGAGAUUUGCAAUGGAAAAAAUCCCUGUAUUUGCAAGCACUUUGGGGGAUGGACAUAUGAAAAUAACUAUGAAGAAAAAUACAUCACUGAUGCUAUAUUGUUGAGCACAAAUGCAUCAUACAACCAUCUAUAUGCUCUUCUGGCAUCUUAUAUUAAUGCAGAUUUGAGCUGCAAAAGUAUCCAAAUUAAAUAUCAAAUAACAAGUGGUGCAGGGCAAAUACUUAUACAUAAGGACACGGUUCUAAAGGUGUAUAUUUUUCAAAAGAAGGAGAUAAGAAAAUGAGUUGUCUAUCUUUGUAUGUAAGUAUUUUGGAGAAAGAUUCUUUUAGCACAUUUGCAAGGUCAUCACUAAUUCACUCAGAAAGUAUGAAUGUCUGUUACAAUUUGCGUCAAGGGGUAAAUACAUCUAUUGAGACCAUAACAUUAAUAGUUUCUAAUAAUGAGAAAUGUUUAGAUGUAUUUGAGAUGGAUACAAGUCAUGUGAUUAUCUCAGAUCUGUAUCAUAAGCAUAUUGAGGUCGAUUAGGUAUACCUUUCAAUUUUUUUUAACGUUAGGUAUGAAGGAUUAUACAAUUAGAGAGAAGUUCAAACACGAUCUGAAAGGUAAAGUAAGACCUGGUAAGUAUAUUCUACAUUAAUUUUUUGGGUGUUUAUUGUUUGGUUAAAUAUGUUUGACUAUAUUUAAUUUUUUGGAUGCAGUUAUAUAAUGUUAUGCAAAUUUUGUAAUUUUGGCUUCUUAUUUUGUACCUCGGAUAUCAUGAAAUCUGGGAUGUUUAGAGUUAGAGAGUUUGAAUCUGAACAUACAUGCUCCGUUAAAUACAAGUUUAUCCCAAAUUGCAUUCAACAAGUAUGAUGAUAGGUGGAAUUGUUAAACCAAAACUUAAAUAUCACAAACGAAAAAUACAGUACAACUGAAAUAAAAAAUAACAUAAAAAAGUCUUGGGCAUGCAUUUGACAUACAGUUUAUGUUGGUGGGCCAAGGAAAGAGCAAUAAAAAAAUUGAGGGAGAAAUCAUUAGCAUCAUGCGACUAUACUUACAUAUUUUGAACACUAAUUAUCCUAGUUCACAUAUACGAAUGAAGAAGACUACUAAAAAUGAGUUCUUAUAUGUAUUUAUAGCUCUCCUUGUAUUCAUUAAAGGAACAAAGCAUUGUAAACUUGUCGUAUUAGUUGAUGAAAGUCAUCUAAAAGGAAUGUACACUGAGAUAUUUGUAGCUUUCUGUACCAUAGAUGGAGCCGGUAAGUUAUAGUUGUGAUUAUACAAAGCUAUAUGUUUAUAUCAUAUAUAUUAAUAUAUUUGCAAAAAUACAAAUACAAAUACAGUUAUAAAUAUAUAUGUGCAAUAUAUGUUUGAUAAUACAUUUAUAGUUAACUAUAUGUAUUUCAACAGUGUGUUUCAAAAACAUAUGUAUAAGCAACUAUACAAAUACACAUGUAUUUAUGUAUUAUACUUAAUGAGUUUUGUAUGUUAUAUAAAGUGUGUUAUAUUACAUAAAUGUAUUUAUAUAUCAUAAAAAUUAUAUAUGUAUAUGUGACAUGAACCGAACCAAGGCCUAAUGUAUCAAACAUCUCAAGUCCAACCAGGACCGGAGAUCAUCCCCAAUACCCAACCAUAACCGCCUUGGACCCUAUGUCGGAUGAAUUUUGAACAUAUAACAAGAUUAAACAAGGAUAACUUAAAGACAUCAAGUAAAGUCUGUAAUCAUAAUCCAACAACCUCAAUCAAAAAUCAAAUCGGUGCCAACCCCAAUGCCAAUACCAAUACCCAGGUUGACACCAAUACCGACACCGUCCAUGCCCAUAGUUGUCUGAUGAAGCCUCUAUCUAGAAUCAAUAACAUCCGAUCGUGACGUUCCCCUAAAUAUAUACAAAACCAAACCAAAGAAAAAAUAAAAAUAAAAAAAGUCCAUAGCAUAAAAUGGAGCCUUCCGGAGUAUGGAAGCUCACCACUUCAGUCUGACUCAAAGCUAUCCCUGAAUCUAAGUCACUGAGUAGGAGGAAUGAUUGUAUGGCCUGUUCCUGCAUCACGUGGGGAUACAACUCCCAAAGAUGGUUAGCAGAGUGAACACUAACAUGUACACAGGAAUAAAGAUAAAAUAAUGCCAAUAUUUAAAGCCAAAUAAAAUAACCAUAUACAAUCACACAUAUACAUAUAUAUUAUGAUGGGAUAGGGAACCGAGUUUAGAAUGCAUUUAAAACCUUAACCUAGGUUGAAUAGCUUGACCGUCCUAAAACCACCCAUGGGCUAUAUGGGUUCAGCUCCCCCGCUGAAAGGGCCCUAGUGCAUGUUAGCCACACUACUGGAGAAAAAAACCUGAGAUGACUAGUACAUCUUCCAAAAUAUAAUGUGUGACAUUCAUGUACAUGAUUAAUAAGACCACCCUUACAUCGGCAGACGUGAGUUUCCAGUGUCGGUUCCCCUGGGACCCCCACCUUCUAUGGAUUUGCUACUCAACCCUCUUUAAGCCCAUAUUGAAACCAUUUAUACGUUUCAACCAUUUACCAAGGAGUCUUUCAUUUAGGCAUUAACCGUUGGUAUUGUCACACUAAAAUUAGAGCUUCCAGGUUUAUGCCUUUAUGCCAUACCAAAACCAUUAAACCAAGUUGACUCCAAAGUUUCCAAUUAAAACAAAACUAUGGCCACCAAGGCCUCUCCUAACCAUUUAAAACCAACUGAACUAAUUUAAUUUCCAUUACCAUUUAUGUAAUGCAGGGAUAUCAAGAGUAGUCAAGUAAUGUGACAAUCAUUCCCAUUAGUAUUUUAACAAACAGGUUGAGGGCACAUAUGUUUCAAAACCAAAACCAAGUAAUUUGGGGAAUCCAUAAUAAUCCAAAAUUCAUUUAGCAUUAACAUGCAUCCCACAAUAUCGAAAUCAUACAAAAAGCAUGAAAGAAAACAUAAAUAAACCAGGAGAACCAUUAUUCGACCAUGAACAUCAAGAAAACCCCAACCAUUAUUUCAAAUCAUAACAAUAUCAUCAAAAUCAUACAUUAAAACACAUCCCCUUUGUAAAAAUAACAAUGAGGUAGAAGUAACAUGCCUUAGACACCAAGGAAGACGAAGAGAAACCAUCCUUGAAAGCUCUAAUUGUUUAUCUUGAAGAAACCCUAGCCUUUUACUUGAGAGAGAGUUUUAGAGAGAUUUCAAGAGUAUUUGAUAUAGAAUAAUAGGUUAAUGAAGCCCCAAAAUUUUUUCAAUGUCAUGGUAUAAAAGGGAGUUAUAAAGGGUAAAUGUCUAGAAUACCCCCAACUUAAAACUAUAAAAUUACCGCAGGUGGUUACGAGCCGACCUCUUGAGUUAUGACCACAAUAUACGAUUCGUACCAUAGAGUCAUUACCAAUAUAAUGAAUUGGAAACCCAUGCACUAUCUACCAUACGACUCCCUAAUCCCCACUCGUGACCAGACUAUACAACUGGUAUGUUACAGUCGUACCCAAGACAGAAACCAAAGGGAUUGAACACUGGACAACAUAUGACUUGAGCUUACCACUCGUACCCUAUUUUCACAGCUCUUAUUGAGCCACUCGUACUCAGAGCCAAGUCAAGUCACUAAGUUACUGAUUUGAUUAAGGGCCCAACCAAACAAACUAUCACCAUCCCUAACGACCUUUACCCACCAAACCAUAACCACAAUAGAAACCCAACCACCUUUCACUAGUCUCUUAACAACUAGGGUCCCCUGAACCAUACCCAUACCAUAUGACUUUUAUGGUGAGUGGUUACAAGGAUAUUAAGCUCAAAGCUUAGGAAUUUUUUAAGGGUCAAAACCCAGAGUGUUUUAAUAUGUAAAUAUUGGAUGUACAUAAUCGUGAAAAAUAUAUUUAUAUAUGCAGGGUAUAUAUUUUCUUGAGCAUAUAGUGUACUUGAUUCAGAAAAUGAUGUAUCUUGCACAUGAUUCUUUAAGAAUCUCAAAUAAGCAUACGGUGAAAGAAACUUAUGUGUGUGGUUUAUGAUCAAAAUGAAAGCAUCAUAAAGGCUAUUUUUAAGGUGUAUAAAGAUCUACCUCAAUUGUAUGGAUGUGACAUUUAUGAGGAAAUAUGGAAAAAUAUCGAAAGUCACUUGAUGCGUUAUCUGAGAUCUUAUACAAUGAUAAGAUCAUAUUUGAAGCCUGAAUUUCAUAACCUAACGAAAAAGGUGGAGGCCGUUGAUGUUAGAGUGAAGCAUUACUUCGAAUUCACAUGUUACAAAAAGUAGGCUAGGAUAUAUGCACCAGUUCAUAGGGGCGGGACUUUGACAUACAAAAUUGCUGAGUCAAUGAAUAUUGCACUUGUAUUAGCUAGAGAACUACCCAUAUAGAAUUUUUUAGAGGAAGUUAGGUUGGUGUUUGGUAAAUGAAACUACAAAUAUAGACAGGGGGCUUCAUAUAUAUUCACAACACUCAUUGAAAAAUUUAAUAAAAUACUAAAGAGAAUGAGGCCGAGUAUACAUGUAUGAUGGUAUGAUUGUAUACAUUUGUCUCCACAUUUGUAUUUGUCCAUAUACAUUUUUAUUUUUCAUAAAGUGACCUAUAUUCUAUUGGUAUAUAUAGUUACUAUAAGUUAUUACAAUUAUAUGUAUUUUGUUGAAGAAAAAAAUACAACUAUAUGUAUUUAUUUGACUAAAUAUUUUUUCACUGAAAACUGUGUCCACAUAUAUCUAUAUUUGACUUUUUUAAAUUAUUUUUUUCUUUUAAAAUAUCAAGUUGUACCAGACACAAAGUAUGUAUACACAGUACAUGAUAAAGAAAAACAUUUUGUUAUUUGUGUCAAGAUUAAAACAUGUUCUUGUCACGCAUUCUAAUUAGAUGAGAUACCAUGUGCACAUGCUUGUGCAGUCCUAAAUAGCAAGAAUUUUACAAAGGGACUAUAUUGCUCUGAUUUAUACAAGACAAAACUGUAUUGAGAACAUAUGAUGUUUUAAUUUAUCCUUUACCACACAAAGACAAUUGGGUAAUUUCAAAUAGCAUACAGAAUGAGGUAGUACUACCCCUAAAAUACAAGCAACCCCCUGAAAGACCUCCAAAGAAAGAUCAUAGAAUUAGGAUGAAAUAUGUUUAGGAGGAAAAUCAUCAAUUCAUAUAGUGCUUAUGGGUUUAAGGGUCCCAAUAGGUGUGCGUGUAGGAAAUAUCAUAAAUUUUGAAUUUAUUGUGAUGUUUCGUUCAUUCAAUGUAUUUUUUUCGCAAUUCAUAACAUUGAACUCAUCUGAAUAUGUGAUUAAUUUUGAAAUGACAAUUAUGUUUGAUGUAUUAGAAUACAUAUUAACAUGUGUGCCACUACACUUGCUACUUGUAGAUACUGUACAUAUGUAUGUAAUUGAAUAUGUAAAAUUACAUAUUCAUAUAUGUUCAGAAAAAUAGAAAUACAUAUUCAUAUAUUCUGAAUAAUACAUAUGCAGUUACAAAUAUGUAUAUGCAACUGUGUUUUUAAAAAAUACAUAUACAGUUAACUUUAUUGAGAAUAAUUGUGUUUAAAAAAGUACAUAUACAGUUAAUUGUAUAUAUUUGCAACUGUGUUUGAAAAAAUAAGAGAAAACAUAAGAGUAUAUUUGCACUUAUACAUUUAUUUACAGAUAUAUAUCUAUAUAAAUAUGUAUAUUCACAUUUAAAUACAUAUGAAUGUAAAUCUACAAGCACAAAUACGUAUAUAUACAAAUAUAAAUGUUGUUCAACUAAAUAUGAAUAUAAAAAUUGAAACUACAUUUGUAUUUGCAUAUACAACUAUCUAAACCUACCGUACAUUAUUAAUACAUAUCUAACUACAUUACAUAUACAAAUACAUCUACAAUCACCUAUAUAUAUUUACAGCUGUGUUUGAAAUACAUAUAAAUACAAUUGUGUAGCUGCGCAACUAAGUAAUUCAUAUGUAAUAUCUGAAUAUAAACCUGUAUAAUCACAUAUUAAUACAUACGUAAUUACAUAUAUAUAUAUAUAUAUGUGGAAGAAAUACAAAAAGUGAAAAAAUAGAAAUAGGACAAAUAUUCAUCAUACAACUACAAUGAAAACUUUAUAUUCAAUUUGAUAAAUGCCAUUCUUUAAAAUAGAAAAACAUAACUGUCAAAUUCAAGUAACUUUUCAAAUGAAACCUAAAAGUAAGAUAUGAAACUUAACAACUACACCAUUACACCACUGUCAACCUAUAUUUUAAUAUUGUCAAAUACAAAAUACAAAUAUAACACCAUCAAACAUCAAGAAUUUCUGUGUCGUUUGUUAUCUUGAUUUCCCUAACAAGCCUCAUUGGUGUUGCGUCGUCACUUUGAGCAUCAACUUCUAAUUUUCUUAAAUCAGAGUCCCACAUAAGUAAAACAUAUUUUGUACAAAGCAAGUCAGACUUGAACUCAAUCAGAGGAACGCCUUCUCCAUAAGUAAGGCAUUCUGCAUAUGGAACCUAUACAAUCCAUAAUUCCUACAAAUACAUUAAGUAAUAAAUUAGAAUAUAAUUUAUAUAAAUUUACAGACAUAUCGUAGGUAUAUGUAUAUUACAGAACUUACAAGCUGUCACUUGAUUGUUGAGGCAAAUCCUCCACAUAACACACUUCAAAGAGGUCCAACUUAUCUUUAUAUUUUGGAUGGUUAUCAAGACCAAUAACCUUAUUUUCAUAGAAAUUACUAACAUGGAGACAUAUAGUUAUAAUAUUUGUUAAUUUUUCAAUUUCAACAAGGACAAUGACAUCAUGAUCAACAAUAGAGAAUGAAUCAUAUAUGAAGAUGCAUCUUUUUGUAAAUGAUAAAACAAUAGAACCCAAUGAUCUCUCUUAUUUACAUUGAUAGAAAUAAAAAUAUUAUCAACUGUAUGCCAUGGUAAUGUAGCAUACAUACAGAAUCCAUUUAUGUAUUCAUUGAGAUAGUACUUCUGUCCAUCCGCAUUAAGAGAUAAAUCAUCCAUUAUGUAAAUUGCUAGAACAUUGUUAACUAUGUUCUUGAAGUUAGAAUCUACUGUGCUGAAUUUGUGUGUGCCAUAAGACUCAUACUUGGACUUCUUCCGCCAGUAGUAGAAGCAAACAUCAAUUUUUUGCAGUAAAAAAUACAUAUAGAAAAAUCACUUAGUGUAUAUAACAUGUAUGUAUGAUAAUGAUUUUAGCAUCAUAAGAUACAUAUAGAGUCUAUCCAACACAAUCCAUUUUGUAAAAUCAACUUUUAUCUUUGAUUGUUUGAACACCCAAGAGCAUAAUUUAUAUGACCAACUUAUUCCUCUUAUAGUGUUCCUUUUUGCCCCUCCUAUUAAGUUAUUCAAUACAUUGCAAUGUUAUGAACAAAGAAAAAUAAAAGAAUAAUACAUGUCAGUAGCAUGAAAUUUAAGAAGGUCCUCUGAAAGUCACUUUAAGAACUUGUUAGUAACAUUAGUGUCUUGUAUCCCAUGAAUUGGGUGAGAUAUAAAAGGAUGUUUCUAAGAGAAUAUACGUCGUGGACUUGAUGAUCUACCUUUAUAAUUACACACAAAAAUGUUUGCUACACAAAUAGAUACAAAUUGUAAAAAUAUAAUAUAUAAAUACUGUUAAAAAUAAAAAUACAGUCUAACACUACAUAAACAAAAACACCAGUUAUUAUAAAAAAUACAAAUAUGAAAUAUAAAUACAAGUCUUAAUGGAUAUCAAUACAACAUACAUAUUUGCAUAGACAUCAAAAUACAAAUAAAAGUAUGCAGUAACAUCACAAUACAAAUAUAAAGUCCAUAUUUGUUGGGACAUCACAAAUACAAAUAGAAGUCUCCAUUCACAAUGCAAAUACAAAAUACAUAUGUACAAUGACAUCACAAAUACAAAUACAAGUCUACGGGCAUAUCACAAUGCAAACACAAAAUACGUAUCUACAGGGAAAUCACAAAUACAAAUACAUAGAUUUUGCCCUAAGAAUACAUUACACUCCAAAUGCAUAAGUACCGCUGUUUAAAUAAUAAGUAUAUAAGUUAGGGUACUUACCAACUUCUAAAUCAAAUUUUAUUGAGUAUGAUGGCUCAUUGAAUCUAAACGGUCGCCAAGUCCUUGUCAUAACUACAAGAUCUUGUUCUUCAACAUUGGCUGAUGAAUAUACGAUGAUGUUUCUUUUAGGAUUUAGGAAGGUAUUAAGACUAGGGAGAAGCUCAUCAAAAAUUGUGAAUUGUGAAUCAGAUAAAACUAGUUUACCUUUUUUUAGGGCUGAUUACACAUUCCUGGACAUUGGUGUCUUAAUGUGCUCCUUUGAAUAUAUUUUUACCGUAUUAUGUCCUAAUGAAUUUGAACUCACACCCGCACCCUCUUUCGUGGUCUAUAAAAUAAGCUAAAACAACUUAGAAUGUUGUGAUAUUUCUAAAUGAAAUUAAGUCUAACAGGUAUGUAUAUUUCAUAUCGAAGACUUCUGUUGAACAAUCAACUCUAAAUUGAUGCUUCAAAUCAGCUUAUUGUAUAAGUAGAAUUAUUAAUCAGAUGCAUCCUUUGGUUGAUCAACCUCAAUUUUAGUGGGGAUGAUACUAUAAUGCAGAUCCUGGUCAGUAUUUCCCUUUAAAACACAUAAAAAAAAUAAAAGAAAAUCAAAUAAUUCUUAAUUUUAUUUAUAAAUAUUGCAAAUAUAUAAAUCAAAUAUUUACCAAUGAUCCAUUAGUCUUCUUAUUCGGAUCAUGCACCACAUUAGGACUAGAGUGCUGGGGUGAUGUUGUCAUAGAUCAAAUUAGGGCCUGGCCAUGAUAGGCAUCCCAAACCAACCAAGGCUUGAGAUAACCUGUAAUACCCCAUACUAAUCCUAUCUCGAUUCAGCUCUUAGUUGCAUGCUUAUGGGGCUUAAAUAUUGAAAUUUUUACUAAGUAUUGGGGACAACUAUUUUCAAGAUCCAUAAACUUUGAGGAUUUUCAUUUUGGUAUUCCUAACCCUGAGAUAUUUGAUUUUGAGUUAAUUUACGUUCAGGGAUGUAAAAAGUAUGUUUUGUGGUGUUUUGGAUUUUUUGGACAAGGUUUGGGUCACGUUUGGUUCACAAAUCCAAUAAGUCACCGCGAUAGGGCUGCGUUGCGAUGACAUUCCCUUUAAAACAUACACCACAUCAUGAUGAGCUUGUAAAUAUCAGUCCAGUUGCAAAUUAAUUCCUUAAGGGGCAAUUAAGUCUUGUCCCCUCAAUCUAAUCCAUCAUAACUUGAAUUAAAGCUUCAGUUAGGGUAGUAUUUGUCCAUCUUCUCUUAUUUUCUCUCACAAAUAAACCUUCUCCUCCCCCAAGAUUAUCAAAUUCCAUUACUCUCUCUCUCUAAGGAAGCCAAGAAUUCAAGUUCCCAAAUCCAAGAACCUUCAAGAAAGCAUGGAGUUUGGUGAUUCUCUUUCAAGAUUAAGGGUUUAAGGUAUGUAGGAGUUCAUCCAUGGGUCCUCUUUCACCCAUGGAGCCCAAAAAGCUUUUCUUUAAUUAAAGAUAUGAACUUUCCCUAUUGUUUAUGAAGUAUCAUAUGUUCAAGAUGAAUUUAAAUCAUGAUUUCCUUAUUAAUUUGACUAAAUUCUUUUCCAAGGAUGUUUUCAUGAAAAUUUAGGUUAUGUCAUGCUUUAAGUUUCAAUUCCCAUGACUUAUCCAAUUGAAUUUUAUGUUAUAAUAUCAAAUUAUGAACUUUUCCAUGUCUACAAGUGUUUUCAAAUGAAUUAAUCUAUUUAUGCUUUAAGUUGCAAGUUUCUAUGUCCUAUUCUAUUAAUUUCAUAUUAAAUCCCCAACUUAUGAAUUUAGUCAUGCACCCAUGUUUCUUUAACAUGUAUACCAUAUUCCCAUGUUCAAAUUCAUGACUCUUAUGUAUUUGACGAAAUGUCUAAAUGUUGAGUUUUAAUCAAUGAUCCUUUAUUAUGGUUUUUAAAGCUUCAUAUGUCCUUAUUGUUAUUUUCAUUCAGUGCUGGAGGGUUAUAUACACCUGUACUUAGCUGUUUACAUAAUUUCAAUAUCUUCAGAAUGAUUUUAAAUAAACCAUGAGCAUUGUCAUUCAGUUAGUACCAUGAUCAGUUGUUUACUCAGUUAAGCUUAGUUCAGCCUAGUAAUUAGUGGCAUUUAGUUGGGAGUAGGAUUUAGCACUGAGCAAACCCAAGGAUGGGGGAUCACUUGCCAGUAGAGGAUACCUUUAGUAGCAGUCCCUUAGUUCCUAAACUAUAUAGACAACAUAGGUAAGAGAUAUUAACCUGCCAGUUGAGGAUUGAUAAAGUGUUUACCUGUCAGUUGAGGGUAACACAUAUCUUAUUAGAGCACCUGCCAGGUGAGGGUGACUUAUUAGUCAUUUAGGACUUUUUUUAGUAGAUCCACAUAGCCAAUGUUAGUACCCGUGGCACGGUACUAACACCCUUCCAACUGGGGUAACAGGUUGGACCCCGAUUAGCUCAGAUUAGGGCAUAUUGGUUAGAUGAUACCUCCCAAAGUCUCAGUUCAACAUUCAGUACAAAAUUUAGUUCAAGUUUGCUAGACCAUGGCAUACAGUUCAUCAGUUAGCAUAUAAUUUAUCAGUUAUUUAGUUACCAAAUUUUAGUUUUUUAGUUUACAGAUUAUCUUAGAAUUAUGCUUAUUCUGGGUCUUGCAUUCUCAGAUAUUAUAGUUUUUAUUCAUUCAUGCUUAGUUAUCUAAUGUUAUUCAGUUAGUCUUAUCUCAUAUGCAUAGUACCCUAUAGUUUUAGUCUAGUUAUUCAGACUAAGUAUAGUUCAGUAUUGCAUGAUUAGUAUUCAGUCAUUAGCUACUCAGUGUUCGGAUAUCAGUAGUCCUUAUUCAUAUAAUAACUACUCAGUAUAUAGGCAUUACUUAUCCAUUUACUAAGAUUUUAAUCAUUUUGUCACCCAGUCAUCAAUUAUUCAGUUAAUCAGAUCAGCUCGGUACAUGUAUGUUUGGUUUCGCAUGUUCAUGUAUUCAUGUUUUAUCGUAUUCCAGCUUCAGUUCUACUCAUCCUAAAAAAGUAAAUCUUUAAGAAACUAAGUGUAAUGAUUCACCAGUUGUAAGAUUAUGUUUGAUACUCAUGUUUUAAGCUACUUUAGUCACUUGGUGAGUCUACUUACACUCAGUAUGAUGUUUUAAGAUUACGUAUAAAAUUAGUUUUACUUAUUGUGUUCACGCUACUUAAUCAGUAUAUUCCAAAAGUACUGAUCCACAUAUAUGUCUGUGUGGCUACAUUAUUUUAUAAUGUAGGUACCAGUUGUAGUCUGCACAUCAUGACUAGACAGUUGCAGUUUCCAGCCAGCAGGUGAUAAGUUCUCCUAUUUUGGGGAAUUUAGUCAGAUGUUGUACAUGUAUUUUUUUGAUUUCUUAUAUGUAUUGAUUAGUGGUAGUUGGGUUCAUGUCCCAGUUAUCUAUAGUCAGUAUUAUAGAGUCUUUAUAGAUGUCAAUCAGAGUCAGUCAUGUAAUUUCAGUUCUCUCUUCAGUUUUAUUAAAUUAUAAAUUAUUUUAGUAUUAUAAUUCUUCUCAGAUUUUGUCAUGAUUAUAUUUCCGCACUGCAGAACCAGUUAUUUAAUAUAUUAUAAAUCAGUUGCUUAUCAGUGUGCCAGUUCAUGGAUUAGCUUGGGAUCACUUGUAGUUCCAAACACCAUGUUACGAUUAGGGGGUAGUCUUGGGUCGUGACAUGACCCCUAGACUUACCUCAAUAGCAUAAUAGUAACAAUAAACAACAAAAGCCAACCAAGAUAAUAAGAGAUAUGUAAGUCAAAAGAUUGUUUGAGAGUCAAAAUCCAAAUCCAUGAUAAUAUCCCAACACUGUCCACAAAAGCCUUUAAUCCAAAGAUUACCAACCAAGUCGAGACAUGACCCCAACUAUAUCAAAAUAAAUCUAAAAGUACUGGAAUAGUAGAUAACACUAAGAUAAAUAAGGCCUUUCAAAAGAUGGAGGGCUUACUACUUCAACUGCUAUACAACCAAAAUACCAAACCACCUAAUGCUGCACAGGGUUACAAAAAAGCCCUUGAAAACUACAUCAUGAAAUGAUGUAGUUGUUAGGUACGGUCAGUAUGACGAGUACUAGUAUGGAAGUUAAGGAAAGGGAUAAAACAUAUACACUUACCAAUAAUCCAAUAAUAAAUCACAUGCACAAUAAUUAUACAUAUAUAUAUAUGAUGUUGGGGUAGGGGAAAGGGACAUGAAACAUGGUUGUCUGACUAUUUUUGGGUCCAAAAAUGACCCUGAAUGCUCUCCAAAAAUCUUGAAACUCUUUUCGUACAACCCUUAUCAUGAUUCAAGUAAAAAAUUAUCAUUAAACACAUAGAAGGAUCCAAAAUAAAUUAGUCAAAUUUAUGGGGUCUCACAUUAUCCCUAUAAUACCCCAGGUUUUGAACUCUGAAUUUUUUUCAGUAAUGGUGCUUAUUGCUCUGGGUACGACUCAAGCGACAAGUCAUGAAGACUCAUUAUGAGUCGUACAGAGAUAAUCAUGGUCUAACAAGUAAGGUUUCCUUAAUUUUUUAUCAUGAUCACGACUGGGAUGAUACGAGUCAUAAGGUAAUGUCACGAGUCAUGGUGAUGGAUUCAUUAACUUACCAUUGAGAUGGCCUAAGGUUUUUAUCUUGGUAAUGACUAGACUUCACAAAUUGUAGGGUAAGGUCAUGAGUCGUAGGGUGGGAAUUGUGACCAAGCCAAUAAGGAGGCCCUAAGUUUUUGCCCAGUCUAUUAUUCUUGGUGACGACUCGUAGCCAGUGAUCAUGAGUCAUUACGUGACCCGUAAUGACUGGGAGUGAUUUUCCUGCACGAUUCCAUUAAGGUUAAUUUGAUAUUUUCGUCUCCCUUACACUAUUCCCAUAACUUAAAGCAUUUCCUUAGUCAUAUUUCCACCUAUUAAACAUAACAUAAACACUCUCUGCUCUCUCAAAUUCCCAAGUCAUGAACAAAGCUAGCUUUCUAAGGGUUGGUCAACUAAGGCUCAAAAGGUAGUCUCUUCCCCAAGUUCUUGGUGUUUUCAGGCAUGUAUCUCUCUCCUUAAACUUGUAUUUUUAUCUUGUCAUGUAAUAUUUUGGUAUUCAUAUGGAUUUAAUAUUUGUUUUAGAAUUUGCGUUAAGGGUUCUAGAUGACUAUCAUUUAAAUGGUAUUCUCAUGGUUUACAUUCAUUUGUUUAUGCUUUAUGAAAGGAUUUUGGAACUCAUCGAGUGCAUGGGCAUAGUGAAUAGAAGGGGGUUAUAGGUUCCCCCAAAUUUUAUGAUUUUUCAUUUGGAAUUUGUAUUAACCUCAACUCACUUGUGAAAAAACCUAUAUUUUGGACGUUGAAAGUUUCUUGAGCCUUGAGCUCACUGUCUUGGUUACGAAUGGACCUAGGAGUCGUAAGGUGUCUUCACGACUUGUUAGGAUGAGUCGUAACCAAAUCAAAAGUUGGUGGCUUGACUCUACUCUGAGUAUAAGUGGCUUACUAAGAUCCAUAAGGUUAUGUUAUGAGUCAUUAAGUGCAAUCAUAGAGAGUCCAAUGUAUUCCCUAAUUUGGGUUCUUUGCUGACUACGACUAGACCCUACAAGUUAUAGGGUCUCAUUACGAAUGGGUUGGUCAAGUCGUAAGUCUGACAAUGUAUGGGAUCCUAGUCAAUAUCGUAGUUACGACUCUUGGUAAUGAGUCAUAAGUUAUGGUAACGAGUCUAUGGUUGACUCAUAGUCAAAGGCAACACUUUAUUAGUUUUUAAGUGAGGGCACUCUGGACCAGUUCCCACUUUAACCCCUUGGACCCCAUGACUUAAAGCCUUCCUUAGGACUUUAUUAUCACCCCAUUCCUGAUAAAACACUCCCAAAUUUCUCUCUUAAACUCUCUGUUCGGCUAGGUUUUUAAAGAAAGUGAUCAUCUAGAGUUCUAAAAAUGCAAUCUCUUCCAAAUUUCUUGGUAUAUUAGGGAUGUUGCUCUUUUAUCAUCGUCAAUUUUGUAAAAACAUGUGAUUUAAAGUAUUUUAAUGAGAUAUUGAUGUUGGGUUUUGAACUAUAGUUUGAGGGUUUUUAAUAUAAAUUGUUUAAAUGUUUUUCCAUGCUAUCUAUAAAACUAUUAUGCUUAAAUUGAUAGUUGGUAAAUGCAUUGGAGUGCAUGGGAAUGGUGGAUGGAAACAUGGGUACAAAGGAAUCUCCAAAUUAAUUGGUUUGGUAUGAAAAUUGGUACAACCUCAACCCACUUGCAUACUUGAUUUUGGUUCAUGCAUUAUUACUUGGUUUAGUUUGUUUCUUGAAACUAACGCAUAUCAUAAAUAGUGAAUUGAUUAGGGAUAGUUUUGAAAACCUUGUGGGGUACACAAAAAUCCCCUAAGUGAUUUUAAUAAUAUUAUCUGUGGGGAACAUGAGAAUCUCCUAAGUGUUGGCUAAUAAAAUUGUUUGCAAGCUAUGGUCGGUAUGAUGAUGCCACUUAAUAAUGCCUUAAUGUUUGACUCCUAGAAUAGGUGGUUGGAUUAUGUGUUACGUGUUUUAAUUAAGAAAUAAUGAGAGUCGUGUUAGCGAGCCGUGAAGGUGUAAGUCCGAAGGACUGAUGCUGGAAACUCAUGUUUACUGAAUGAGGGUUGGUCUUGAUGACCAUUUACUCGUGGGGUACAAGGGAAUCCCCAAGUGCAUAUUCAUAUAUAUGUAUCAUGGAGGGUGAAGGGUACAAGGGAAUCCCCUUAAUGUUUGACUCCUAGAAUAGGUGGUUGGAUUAUGUGUUACGUGUUUUAAUUAAGAAAUAAUGAGAGUCGUGUUAGCGAGCCGUGAAGGUGUAAGUCUGAAGGACUGAUGCUGGAAACUCAUGUUUACUGAAUGAGGGUUGGUCUUGAUGACCAUUUACUCGUGGGGUACAAGGGAAUCCCCAAGUGCAUAUUCAUAUAUAUGUAUCAUGGAGGGUGAAGGGUACAAGGGAAUCCCCGGUCAUCUAUGAUAUCUCUGAUUCAUACGGCUAACAUGCACUGGGGCCGUUCAACGGGUAACACUAGGACCAUAUAACCCAUGGCUUAUGGAUUUGUGAUGGAAAAGCUACAUAAAAUCAGGUUAAAGUUUUAAAGUUCAUGCAAAGAUCAUUCCCUAUCCUAGAAUUAUAUAUAUGUAUAUACAUAGAUAUGCAUGGAUGUGUACAUGUUCUUUGGUUUGACUUGGUUUGAAUUGGUGGUAUUAUUUUAUCCUUAUCCUUGACGUACAUGCUAUCAUUAACCCCUUACAUGCUAGUAUUAACCCUGCUAACCAUCUUCAAAUGUUGUUUCCCUAUGCGAUGCUAGAAUUGGCCAUACUUCUACCUGUGUUGUACUUUGACUAGGAUGUAGAGUCUAAUGUCUUGAAUUUUUUUGAUUAUUGUUUGUUCGCCUUUCAGAUCAUACCUCCAAAACGAUCUAACAUCCGUGGUAACUCUUCUCUUUAAUCUGAGGACAAUAUGGAUGGAAUUGUCCUACUCUAAGAAUUUAGACCAGGUCUAGGGUCACUGCUUUUGAUUACCCAAAUGGAUAUCCAUUGGUUCCUCUUGUUCCUCCUCAGGCACCUCAAACAAUUAUGUCUAAUGUAGAGUUUCACCAGUGGAUUCACUUGCUUACCCAGUUGGUAGCCUCUCAGACUGAGUGUGUUACUUCGGUUACUCUUUCUUCUGAGGCUGCUAGAGUUGGAAAAUUUAUGAGAUUGAGUUCUCCAACUUUCACUAGUUCUAAAGUUGAGGAAUACCCUUAAUACUUCAUUGAUGAGAUGGAAAAGAUCUUUUUUAUGAUGUAUGUCACUAAUGUGGAGGGCGUAGAGUUCAUCGCUUACCAACUAAAAGAUGUGGCAUAGCAAUGGUACGAGGAAUGAGACUAAUCUAGGGGCGAUGAUGCUAAGUCUACUUUAUGGGAUGCUUUCUCUAGUGCUUUUCUAGACUAUUUCUUUCAGCAAGAGUUGAGAAAGGUAAAAGUGUAAAAGUUUGUUAACUUAAAGCAAGGCAAAAUAUCAGCUAAGGAGUAUGCCUUAAAGUUUCAUCAGUUGUCUCGGUAUGCUCCAGAGUUGGUGUCUAGCAUGAGGGAUAUAAUGAGGAAGUUUGCUUCUAGGUUGUCACGAGACUUGAUUCUAGAGAGUAAGGCUGGCCUAUUAAACAAGUAUAUGGAUAUUUCUUGGCUUGCUGUUUAUAUCCAGCAAAUUGAAGAAGAGAAGAAGAAUCAAGAUGAAUUUGGGGAGGGUAAAUCUAGAUGUUUUCCUAUUCGAAUUAGGGUAGAGAUCAGUAGCAAGGUGGUAGAGAAAGUAAAAAGUGGACUAAAAAAAGGGGGAAGUUUUAGUUCCUACUCUACGGCUAGUUCUCCCUAACCAAAGCUAUUGGGUGAUCAUUAUUCUCAGCAUGAUAUUAGGUUUAGGGAAUAGGGUGCCCAAUCUUAGAUUAGUGGGGCUCAACCCAUUCCAUCAUAUCUUUCUUAUAGGUUUUAUAAUCGGUUGCAUCGUGGAUUUUGUAAUGAAGGGAGGGAUAGAUGUUUCAAAUGUGGUCAGCUAGGGUAUAUUCUGAGGAACUUUCCUAUGAGUAAGGUUGCUUCUAGAGUUAACAAUGUUCCUGUUACCUCCUCAUCAACUUUUGAACCACAGGGUGCCCCUUCUGGCUCUGGUACUGGUCAGAACUAUCUCUAUGCUCUCACUACCCAUCAGGAGUUCGAGGUAUUUCUUGAUGUCGUUAUUGGUAUAUUGAAACUCUUUUCCCAUGAUGUGUACUAUUUACUUUAUCCAGGAUCCACUUUUUCUUAUGUGAUCCCAUUUAUGGCUGUGCAAUUUGGUUUUGGUCUAGAGUAUAUUUUGAACCCUUUUUUUGUUUCUAUCCUAGUGGGUAACUCUGUGGUUGCUAGAAGAGUCUAUAGGGGUUGUGUGGUGUUGGUUGGUGGUAGAAAAACUUUGGUAAAUCUGAUAGAGUUACAUAUAAUGGAUUUCAAUGUCAUAUUAUGAAUGGAUUGGUUGCACUUGUGUUAUGCCUCCUUAGAUUGUCGAACCCAUGAGGUGAUAUUUAAAUUCCCUUAUGAGCUGGUCAUUGAGUGGUAAAGGGGUUCUCUAGUGCCUAAGGGAAGGUUUAUAUCAUAUCUUAGAGCCUAAAAAAUAAUUUUCAAGGGGUUUCUUUCCACUUGGUUUGAGUUAAAGAUUCUAACUCAGAAACUCCUUCAUUAUAUUCUAUUCCUAUGGUUAAUAAAUUCCCUAAGGUCUACCUUGAUGAUCAUCCUGGUGUCUCUCCUGAUAGGAAGAUUGAUUUUAGGAUUGAUCUUGUUCCGAACACUCGUUCGAUCUCUAUUUCCCCAUAUAGAAUGGCUCUAAAAAAGUUAAAAGAUCUUUGAUACCAUUUAUAGGGGGGGGNNNNNNNNNNNNNNNNNNNNNNNNNNNNNNNNNNNNNNNNNNNNNNNNNNNNNNNNNNNNNNNNNNNNNNNNNNNNNNNNNNNNNNNNNNNNNNNNNNNNNNNNNNNNNNNNNNNNNNNNNNNNNNNNNNNNNNNNNNNNNNNNNNNNNNNNNNNNNNNNNNNNNNNNNNNNNNNNNNNNNNNNNNNNNNNNNNNNNNNNNNNNNNNNNNNNNNNNNNNNNNNNNNNNNNNNNNNNNNNNNNNNNNNNNNNNNNNNNNNNNNNNNNNNNNNNNNNNNNNNNNNNNNNNNNNNNNNNNNNNNNNNNNNNNNNNNNNNNNNNNNNNNNNNNNNNNNNNNNNNNNNNNNNNNNNNNNNNNNNNNNNNNNNNNNNNNNNNNNNNNNNNNNNNNNNNNNNNNNNNNNNNNNNNNNNNNNNNNNNNNNNNNNNNNNNNNNNNNNNNNNNNNNNNNNNNNNNNNNNNNNNNNNNNNNNNNNNNNNNNNNNNNNNNNNNNNNNNNNNNNNNNNNNNNNNNNNNNNNNNNNNNNNNNNNNNNNNNNNNNNNNNNNNNNNNNNNNNNNNNNNNNNNNNNNNNNNNNNNNNNNNNNNNNNNNNNNNNNNNNNNNNNNNNNNNNNNNNNNNNNNNNNNNNNNNNNNNNNNNNNNNNNNNNNNNNNNNNNNNNNNNNNNNNNNNNNNNNNNNNNNNNNNNNNNNNNNNNNNNNNNNNNNNNNNNNNNNNNNNNNNNNNNNNNNNNNNNNNNNNNNNNNNNNNNNNNNNNNNNNNNNNNNNNNNNNNNNNNNNNNNNNNNNNNNNNNNNNNNNNNNNNNNNNNNNNNNNNNNNNNNNNNNNNNNNNNNNNNNNNNNNNNNNNNNNNNNNNNNNNNNNNNNNNNNNNNNNNNNNNNNNNNNNNNNNNNNNNNNNNNNNNNNNNNNNNNNNNNNNNNNNNNNNNNNNNNNNNNNNNNNNNNNNNNNNNNNNNNNNNNNNNNNNNNNNNNNNNNNNNNNNNNNNNNNNNNNNNNNNNCUAACAUGUAUAUUCUAACUCUAAUAUAUAUCUCUUCCGUACUUUAUCAGUGCAUAGCUCAUGAAAAGUGGAAUAACAACAAAGUUUGUACUAGACAUUUUCUCUAGUUUAAUGCUUCUACGUUAUCCCAUUCCAUUUUACUUUUUGUUCAUUUGUAAACAAUCUGCUAACAUUGCACAUUGAAAGAUAAGUGCAUUUGUUCGUCGGAAAAAUUCGACCACCAGAACUGAUCAAGGAGGGGUCUAUUUGUCUGUCUUUUUGUGGGUUGGGUUGUGUAAGUCGAGUUAGAUUAGGGUGUGUUUUAUUUUAGAAAAUGAGACACUUAAUAUUGACUUGGAUUUUUUUGUUAAAUAAAGGAUACAGGUGAAAAGUUUCUUAACAGGAUAAAUUUGAUCUCAAAGUAUGACAGUAAAUAAAAAUUUGACUUUAAAGUAUGAUGAAGGAUAUAUUUAACCAAUUUUUUCAAAUUAGAAAGAUAAAUUUAACCAUUUUCCCUAAUAUUAUUGUAUGCUAGUAAAGAAACUCAAAUAUAAUUGGCAUAUGUGUUAUUGGUAACAAAAAGAUAUGAAUCUCAGACUGAAUUAACUCAAACUUAAAAGUUAGCUAUAGAGGAAAUUAUUGUCCAAGACUAUAUUAAGAGACCACUCAUCUCUUUUUCAUUCACGUGACACUCUUCCAACCCCCCUCAUGCCAAGGGUUGGACACUGGAGCGUGAUUUAUUUACUUUGGGGCGCAACUUCAUGAAACAAGAAUUGAGAUGAGUGUUGCUAUAAUAACAUAUGUUAAGAAAUGGAUCAGUUUUGUUCAAAUUUAUCUCUAAAAGCUAGCUCUAAAGAAAAGAAUUGGCCAAGAUCAUAUAAAAAAAUGACUCAUCUCUUUUUCAUCCAAUUUGGGAUUCUUCAACAACCACAUAUAACUAUAUAUAUUAAUGGAAAGGUCAAACAAGCAAUGCUUCUCCAUCAAAUAAAGUUAUUGCCUAAAAUAAGUUUAAUUAAGGAGCCCAAUAAGUGGACUCGAAUGUUCAAGAACGACGAGCAAAAUGACAAAAUUUGUCACCUUCGAAACAUCGUCCUAUCACCUUAAGGAGGCCUUAGAAGGUCUAGCACUAUUAGCAUAUAUAUGUUUAUGUAAUGUAAUAUCACAAGUAAAUUCAGAAGAAAAUAAUGUGCAACUUUUGACUUAAAAUCUUCCAAUAACAUGAGAGGAGAAUCGUGAGAUGCCAUGGCAAACACAUAAUAUAUACUAAUAUUAUAGAGGAAUCUAUACCUGCAGUCCACUUAAUUCAAUCAAGUUUCUUGAAGAAUGGAGGGGAGAGGUACCUGCCUUUUUUGGGAAGCAUUCUUCGUUAAGAUCCCUUAAUUCCACAUUCUAUCAAAAUUAAUAAAGUGACAAGAACCGAAAGUUACAUCACAAAGGAAAAAGAGAAAAAAGGUAUAUUGUUAAGGGGGCAAAAUGUAAUUAAAUAACUUGUGUCCGUACAACCAGCAGGUAGCAUAUUCAUGGUGAGUUCAAUUUUAAGAAACUUCACCUAGGGGACCUAAUAUUUGUUUCUCUCUUUAUUUGAGCUUAUGGCCCCUAAGAUCAAUUAAGUUAGUUUUGUGAUUGAACUUUUUUUUUUCAUCCAGUGGUGUCCUGUAUUCAUAUUGGAUCCCGAUUAAUUCAAAUACAUGUGGGGAAGUCCCUCUAUGGGGGUUAAGCAUUCCUACCAAAGGCAAUUUCAUAUUCAAGACUAAAACCCAAACUUCUAGUUAAAGAUAAUGGAGGAGUACUUACCACUCCAUCAUAACCUUUGGUGGUAUGAUGGAAUUUUGUUAUGUAUACGGACCUGCCUAAAUUCGAUAUUCAGAUAAUAAAAUUGGGGAAUAAAGUAUUACAGAAUCCAAAUCUUGUUCCUUUAUCAAAUUUAGGAGUGAAUAGUACAUUUUUGUAAUUAGUUUAAAUUUAUAUUGAUGGAGACUUUGAACAAAUUAAUAAUGAACUGAAUAUUGGAUAUUUAUUUAUAUUUCUUUCAACCUUUUUAUUCUGCACUUUUUGAUAUAUUUCACUUAACAUAUUGCCAAAUUAAUCUAUAAAACUAUUUUUUUUGUUUUUGCUUGAGAGUAAACCUAAAGAGGUUGGAAAAGAAUAAGAAAGAGGGAAACAACGAAUUGCGGAGACUGUAAAAAGUAGAGAAAAAUUGCACAGUGAACAUAUAUAUAUAUAUAUAUAUAUUCAAGCAAUAUCGGUAAAUUAACAUAUGCUAAAUUAGACAUCUCGUUCUAGUACGAGAAAUUUUUGAUGGAAAGUAUUUUCCACAAAAUGAGCCAUUAUUUGAAUUAAUCAGAGCAGGAGGUUCCGAAAAUCAAAUUAUUAAACAAAAACAAAUUUUAAAAAAUAUCUCCAGAAUUCAGAUUCCAAAAUCCAUUCAGUAUUUUCUGAAAUAUUAUGGCAGAUGUUCCCAUUCCUUUUAUCAGAAAAAAAGGAUUCUUCAUCUUCCCAUUUAUCUAAUGCCAUGUUAUGACUAUAUAAUAUCCCAUUCCUAUCCUUAGCAAUAGUAAAGGAGAGAACAUGCAAAUGUUCUGUUAAUACUUUCAUCUUUUUCUUUUUCUUUUUCAUUUCUCCGGUAAAAAGUACUCCCUCCUUUUUAUAUUACUUAGCCCCUAUAUUGACCUAACAUAUUUUUAUAAAAGCUUUAAUUAGAUGUGUAUUUUACGAAACUAACUUUAUUAAUGAAGCUUUAGAACUCUUAAUUUGACAAUAUGAAAAAAAAGUAAUAAAACUCCCUUGAUUUACAAAAAUGAACAACUAAUUUGAAAGAUCUAUUUUUAUUAUAUGAGCAAGUAAAAUGAGGUGAUUAGGCGGGACAUGGAGCAGUUACAGCUCACCGAGGACAUGACCCUAGAUAGGAAGGUCUGGAGGAGCGAAUUAGGGCAGAGGACUAGGGCCAGUUUGGGUCGCUAGUGUAGGGAAUUACUUGGUGGGGGUUUUAUUCCUGUUAUGAUUCCGUGUUCCGUGUUCCAUGUUUUAUUACGAAUCUGUGUGCUUUCCUUUGCUUUCCUCUGUUUUAUAUUACUUAUGGGUGCCGUAUUUAUGUUAUGUAAUCUGCUUCUGUGCUUUACUAUGUGUUUGUGUGGUAUCUCGUGCCUUGAGCCGGGGGUCUAUCGGAAACACCCUUUCUACUUCUUUAGAGGUAAAGGUAUGGACUGCGUACAUCUUACCCCCCAGACCCCACUAGGUGGGAAUACACUGGGUUUGUUGUUGUUGUUGUUGAGCAAGUAAAAUGAAAUGAAGGGAGUAUUCGAAGACAAAUUAAAUUUCCAAAAAUGCCUGAUCAAAUAGCUAGUUAGAACUAAAAAUGAAGUACCUAAUUUUCCUUAGUUUCAACUUGUCAGCAUCAUCUAUGUUCUUAUAUUUUGUUAACGGAUUUAUUAUUUGGUUCUCUUAUUCUACCAAAAAAACAAAACAGAAAAAAAAAAGAAUCAUUUCUGGAAACUCAUCAAACAUUUUGUUACGGAACACAUGUAGUAGACUAAAAAAGGAAACAAGACCAUUUAGAAGCCAAAUUAGCUAAAGAGGCAGUAAUCAGGAAACUAAAUGUGGAGUUAGGAAUAAUUUAUCAUGUCCAUUUAAGAUCAUAUAAUAUCAUAGAAGCAUCUUAACCGCUGUAUACCAAUUUCAUUAAGGACACCAAGUUGCCAAAAAAGUUCUUGUUGAUAAUGUGAUCACAAGUGUUUAAUUAUCCCAAGAUAAUAAGUAGCUUUAAUCCUGAUAAUAAACUAAAAAAAGAAGUUAGUACUACUAAACAAAUUAAACAUCGACUAAGGAAUUCAAAGUGAUUCCUUAUAUAGAAGCCACACUCUAGUUUCACACUUUCACUUGAAUAAUACUCUCUCCGUGUCAUAUUGCUUGUUUAUAUUAUUAAAAAUAUUUGUCUCA
rnacentral:lncRNA from 1 species